rnacentral:lncRNA from 1 species
AUACAUUGAAUUUACUGAAAACAUGUCACUGUUUUCCGAUUUUCAUACUCGCGUAUCCCUAAUGUCAUUAGUUGUCUCAAAAGCAGAUCUGAGCUCUUGCACAACGAAACAGAUGCGUAGUGCACGGAAUUCUUGCAGGUUUACAAAAGAGCGAUAUGUCAUGAGGCUUGAAACGAGGACAUUCCAUUGAUUACAGCAGCGAGAUAUUACAGCACAUGGACUAGAAACUAGAACGAUGCAGUACAACCACCACAGAAAACAGCACCGAUAAAGACAACACAGACUAACUAGACCAAGAACACAACACGACCGCCACCGCCACCACGUAAUUCGCCACCGGGAGAGGGGCGACCUAACCGCCGAAACCGUAGAGGGUGCGGCCCUGGCGCUUGAGAGCGUAGACAACGUCCAUGGCGGUCACAGUCUUGCGGCGGGCGUGCUCGGUGUAGGUGACGGCGUCGCGGAUGACGUUCUCGAGGAAGAUCUUGAGCACGCCGCGGGUCUCCUCGUAGAUGAGCCCGGAGAUGCGCUUGACGCCGCCCCUCCUCGCCAACCUGCGGAUCGCCGGCUUGGUGAUGCCCUGGAUGUUGUCACGCAGCACCUUGCGGUGGCGCUUGGCGCCGCCCUUGCCCAGACCCUUCCCGCCCUUGCCGCGGCCAGACAUCGCCGAGAGUUUCGCCGCUGUGACUUUGAAUUUGGUUGAGGAGAACUCGAGGAAGAGGAUUUGUGCGAUGGUUAAGAUUCGGGGUUGGAGGAGUAUUUAUCGGUGGGGUUUGGGAGGGAACGCGGAAGUUUUGAGCAGUGCCGAGCGGGAGGUGAUUUCGGCCUCGAUCCGUGGGACUGUGAGCCUGGAGCGUUGGAUUGGGAUCAGAAGGGAGGGAUAUGGCGGCGGCUCUUGGCACGGAUCGGUGACGUGGCGGAGAGCGCGGGGAAAAUGUUGGGAGCUGGGAGCUAUAGGAUCGCUGAACAGACACGAGGGUUUUGUUCUGUUUCUAAGACUCUCUAGAGCGCGGCCUCCUUCCCCUCCCCUCCCCUAACAUUGUUUAGUGUUUAGGGGCUACAGUAUCACCUUAACACCCACAGCGGCGAGCCCUACGGGCAACUCUCCGAUGCGCUCCCUUUCUCUCUCACGCCAAAUGAAGCGGACGACUGUUCACUCCUCCACGGGUUCUUGUCACGGAAGCCGGCGCCCACGCCAGACCGAGGAAAGUUUCCGGUCGACUUCGCUUCCUCUCGACGCCUCUCUAGAACUCGGGCGACAUCGGACGACAGGGCGACGGAUCUGCCGGCACAAGGCCGAUUCGGAGCCGGUGGAGGUUGGCGGCGAGGAGGACGACGACGAGCACGUCCAGUUCGUGAGCAGUGAACCCCGCUCGCGCCAGAAGCCGAAGCGCCCAGAAAUCGCAGUCCGUCGAGGCGAUUCGUCUGCUCAUCUGUUGCCUUCCUCUCGGAGCAUCGACGCCUUCCUCAGAUCCAGACUUCAUCGGUUCGAUUCGUAUUGUUAGGGGUGGGCAUUUUAAAACCGAAAACCGAACCCGAACCCGAACCGAACCCGAAUAGACCGAAUUGUGAGUCUAUUCGGGUUUUCGGGUUCGGGUUCGGUUCCUAUAUGUGCUAUAUUUCGGGUUAUGGGUUCGGGUUCGGUUCCUAACCUUUAAAACCCGAAUAGACCUAAUAACCCGAAAUAUAAAAAAACUCUUAAUAUGUGAUGGUAUUAUUAUAUGAUUUAUGAACUUAUUAGCUAGAAAUAAUGAUAUCAUCUUAACAAUAGUAUAUAUAUCUUUGUAUGCUAAUUUUUAUAGUCACUUGUUGUAGUAAUAGUACUUUCAAUUAAUUAUUCAUUGUAUAUAUUUUAACAAAAUAUACUAGUCUCUCUACAAUUCGGGUCUAUUCGGUGGACCGAAUAGACCGAACCGAAAUUGUGAGUCUAUUCGGGUUCGGUUCCUAAAAUAUUUUUGGAAAUUUCGGUUCUCAUUUUUCAGAACCCGAAAUUUCACAAACCCGAAUAGACCGAACCGAAUUACCCUAAUAGACCGAAUGCCCAGCCCUACGUAUUGUUGCGGCCUGGAUCUUCAGAUCUUCAGGUGCGACCGUGUUCUUGUUUCUCCUCCCGGUUUCUUGAUUGUUCCAUUAUAUUUCAACUUGUACGUUUCAGUUCUGUACUUUACCGAAGUCAUGUGAAUGACCGGAUUCGAUUAGUACGUGCAGCACAAGUGAUCAUGGAUUUGCUCUAUCGGUUAGGGUUUCCUUAACACAGUUCAUCAACUUUUGACAUAAGUGUACAUGAAUCUGCUCCCUUGUUUCAUUAAGGGUACUUAGCGUCGAUUUAGAUGAAGCGUCGGGGGGGUUCGUCUGACACCCGCCAUAAUAGCAACCAUAGAUUUGGGGGCACAAUUUGUUUGCUCAGUUCAUGUCUGUCGGCAUAAUUAAAUGGUUACUUCUGUGAUUACAUAGUGAAAUUUGAAGCUGGUGCAAUGUCAUUUUCGGUUUGACAUAUGCAACCUUUUAUGACUCCACUUAUUUGUUUGCCACAUGUUCUGUUUGAAGCAGGAGUUUAUAAUGUUUUUUGGAACACGAUCCUGUUUAUUUAUUGACGAUUAUAUGAUCCAAUGGAACCCAAUUACUGUCAGUUGAAUAUAUGUCUGCUGUUUGAACAACCUAACAAUACUUCACACAUAAACCAUGCCUAAUUCCUGGUCAUUCUAUAGUUAUUAUAAUCAAUUUUGUACUACAUGACACAAAAAUGAAAACUACAAAAAAAAUUGCCUCUUGUUAUGUACAAAUCAUGACUUGUUCAUUUAAUUUGCAACUUGAUUGUCUGCCUCAUCAUGUGAUUGAAGUAGUAGUUGUUACAAUUUUUUGCAACACUAACUUGUUUCCACAUUAGUAGACACGGUUAAUGGUUCAAUUCAUGUGUGAUGUUUGAAGAACCUAAAUUUUCGUUUCUACUAAAAAACAAGUCCAUGCUUCAUCCUGGGUUAACCCCAAUACUUCAAACCUUAACCCUGCCUACUUCAUGGUCAUUCUAUAGUUCAUAAAUUGUAAUCUACAGUACAUAUGACAUCUUGAAGACUUCAUAAAUUCCUUACUCAGGUUUCUGAUCCUUUGUUACCAAUUUUUGGUACAAUAUAUGUUUGUUCUUUCAUAUAGUUCGUCAGUACAUCAUGAGAAGUACAAGUUCUCUUCCUAUUAUUCACCAAUACAAGCAUGUUAACAUUCAUCAUCAGUAUGUGAGAUAUAUCAUGCUUCCAUUAUGUUAUUUAUGUUCCUCCCCUCAAUAUAAGUCAUGCUUUCAUUAUCAUUACAUGUCCCUGCCUACAUUUUUUGUUCUUGUAUUUUGGCACUUAUUCAUUCGAUGAAGCCUAUAUGCUUUGUAAGGUUAUGCACUUGUUACUUCAUAUAUUAAUUGUUUACAGCACAUUUCAUCAUGGCAUCCUCGACAGAAGAAAACGUGAAGGCUUUGCUCAAAGUCCUUGUAGACUGUGCCGAGGAUGCCACCAAAUCACUGGGUGGUUUAGUAGAUCACGCUUUAGACCACAUGCAUGAUGAAGAGAUCGUAGCUAAAACCUUGUUUGCCAUGAAAGAAAAACUAGAAUUGCUACAGCAAGAUGCCUUAGAGGCAAAAGUGCAAGCAUUUCCAGAAAUUGCUAAGUACGAUGGGGAUGACAUAAGUGUUGAACCUACAACUCCGUCGACCCCUCCAACUGUUACUGAUCCAUCUGUUGAUGAAGAGGAGUUCUACUGCCCCGAUGUCAGUGAUGAGUGGUACUUCAGCGAUUCUGAUAGGUCUACAUGUAACAGCUACGGGAAUAUUUAUUAGCCAUGUAUUCCAGUUCAAGUUAGAUUACAUCCUUUUGAAAUUCUAAGUAGUCGUGUACAGGCAGCAACUGUUAGGUUGUGUGCUUGCAAACGACAAUAUCAGUUGUCAUCUAUGUCUAAGUCUAAGUGGUACCUACUGACCAUAAGCUACAAUGAUGUGAGGAAUUCUGUAGUAUGUCUACUAUGAUGACUCAGAUGUGUUCAUGUGGUGUUGUUCCUAGUGAAACAGUUCAUGACAACCUUUUAUUAUUAUUGUGCUGAUAUAAAUGCUUCGUCUGUUCUUAUGUUUACCUUGUUAUGUCGAUUGCAUUCAUUUUACACCAUUUAACUAAAUUUCUGCCAUGUGCACAACUAAUAGAAUGGACCCAGCAAACAAUGUGACAUCUUCGCAGUCGAUGUCAAAUAACUCAACUGGCCAGCAAUUUCCCCCUCCACCCCCGUUAUGGCCUACGCCCUUCAUGCACCAGACACCUAUGGAUUGCAACAUGAUGGGAAACCUAAAUUUUCCAAAUCAUGGUCAAGGUCCAACAACAAUGUGGGCUCCCAUGUAGACAGGAAAUACUAGUUCCCAAUCUACCAUGAUUCCGGUCUCACAAUCUGUAGUCUAUUGGAAUCAUUACAUGAACUUUGUCAGGAAUCCUCUUGGUUUAGUUGAAGCAAAUCCUUUUCUAGAAUCCUAUCCUCCUUCAAAUACUAGUACACCAUUGCAGGGUUCCAAUACUAUACCUUCAUUACCUGUAAACUUGGACUCAGAUGCUGAACAUAGUGUUCAGGACAUAAAUAGUUCAGAAAAGAAUGCAGCUCCUGUUCAGAAACAAAAGAAAACCAAGGAACAAAACUUUACUGGUCCUGAAGACCUCCUUUGCACUACAUGGUUGCAAAUUAGCAGUGAUCCUAUUGUGCACACUGGACAAAGGAGGGAGGGGCUUUGGGCUCAAAUUGAAAAAAGGUACAACGAAAAAAGGGGGGAGUUCCCUUGUAUACUAAACAGAGCACUUAGCAGCAGAUGGGACAAGAUUAGAGCAGACGUGAGUAAGUUCUCAGGCUACUACGCAAGAGUUCCAAGAGAGAAACAAAGUGGCUUAACUGACGACGACAAGGUUAGCCAUAUCGUACACAAUUUAUUUCAUGUUGUACUUACAUUCAUUUGUAAACAUGUGGUCCGAAUAUUCUAAUUCAACAACAAUUUUUGCAGACUUCCAAGGUGGCUACAUCGUUUGCACACGAGGAGAACAAAACCAUUCCAUUAUAUGCAUUGCUGGCAUCAACUGAAGGGGGAAACGAAAUGGGAGAGCAUCUGUCAAGGACAUUCGUUCCGAGGAUUAAAUGCUAAAUCAAUUGGAUCUUUUGGUACUCCAUCAGUUGAUGCACAUGAAUCUUAUACUGGAUCUGCUGGUUUGACAGGAAAACGGCCCCGUGGUCGUGAUUAUAGUAAAUCAGAGAGAAAGAAAGGUGCAUCUUUCUCAUCUCCAGAAUACUUAAGCCGUUUGCAAGAAAUAACUGAAAAACAAAUUCAGCGGUUCAUAGAAAAGUCUGAAAAGAAAGAAAAGUGCACAGAAGAAGACAGGGAAAUAGAGAAAAAGAGGUUGGAAUUGGAAGCACAAAAGUUAAGCAUUCGACAAAGGGAAUUGAAACUUGAAGAACUCGAAUCGGCCAAUAAACGAAACGCUUGCAGCAGUUCAUAUUUAGUUUUGAUUAAACGUUGUGUUGUGUGACAUGCCGUCCACCUGGUGCACGAAACAGUUUAAGAAUUUUUUAUCUAAGUUGAUUAUGUUAUUUGUUUUUCUGAACAAUUUAAUUUGUUGGAACCAUAGGUCGACAAGUACAUGAGGGUUGUUAGUUAUGUUGUAUCCUGUUGUAUUACAAAAUAAUUAAGUCGGCUGUCGAAACAUCUUUCAUUAUUCUUUCAUGCAUUUGUAUGUUAUGGUUUACUUGGUACAAAAUAUGAUGUAUGUACUGAAUUGUUCAAUUAUGGUUUACUUGGUACGAAAUAUGAUGUAUGUACAAAAUAAUUAAGUGGGUUGUCCAAACAUCUUUCAUAGAAUUGAGGUAAUUUAUUUGAAUACCCGUAACUAGGACAUUACAGUGCACAUUACAAUGACUGAAUUGAAGUUCGAACUAAGUAGCUAUGGAACGACAUGUUUACAUGCUUCCACGUCGAGCCCACAAAUGCUCGACGAGAACAUUUUGUAGUGAGCUCGAUCUUCCUUGGCGACGAAGAUCGAAGUGGUUAAUCACCCAUUCGGUCCGUCCUUCUGCAAUUAUUUGAGAUGGUUGAAUGCCUGAAGUGUUAUCUCCGAAAUCUAUAUUACCAGCUAACGGUCCUUCGUCUUCGACAAUCAUGUUGUGCAUGAUGAUGCAUGCUGUGAUUAUCUCAGUUAAACAAUUACGAUCCCAACCAUACGCUGGACCAUGCAGCACCGCCCACCGGGCUUGAAGAACUCCAAAAGCACGCUCAAUAUCCUUUCGGCAACUUUCCUGAAUCUGUGUAAAAUACACUUUCUUUUCCUCAUAUGGGUGUCUGAUUGCUUUGACAAAAGUUGGCCAGUUGGGGUAAAUAUCAUCAACUAGGUAAUAUCCGAAGUUGUAAGCAUGACCAUUUAUUGUGUAAUUGACUGGUGGCAUUCGACCGAUUGUCAUGGGGUCAAAUACUGGUGAUCGGUGCAGCACGUUUACGUCAUUGUUUGUCCCUGGCAUACCAAAAAAAGCAUGCCAAAUCCAAAGAUCAUAUGUUGCUACAACUUCGAGUAUCAUCGAAACUCUACCAUUUCUGCCACAAAACUGACCACGCCAUGUCGUAGGACAGUUCCUCCACUCCCAAUGCAUGCAAUCUAUGGAUCCCAACGUUCCAGGAAAACCCCUAGCCUCGCUAUUGUGCAUGAUGCGUGUUAUGUCAGCUUCAUUAGGAGUUCUUAGAUACCAGCCACUAAAAUAUGCAAUGAUUGCGCGACAAAAAUGAUGAAGGCAUUCCCUAGCGGUAGACUCCCCAAUUUGAAUGUACUCGUCUACCGCAUUAGAAGGUAACCCAUAAGCAAGUACCCGCAUUGCCGCACAUACUUUUUGUAGGGGCCCGAGUCCUGACAUGCCUGUUGCGUCAACCCUUUGUGUAAAGUAAGUAUCCUGUUGUUGCACUCCUUCCAUAAUCCGGAGAAACAAAGGCCUACUCAUGCGGAACCUAAAAAAUGUACAAAGGUUCGUUGUGAAUACUAUGAAAAUAUCAUAACCUAUUACAAUAAAAUGAAGUGCGUACCUUCUACGAAACAUGUGGGGUGGAUACACUGAGUUCGUGCCGAAAUAGUGAUGCUGGAUGAGGUUUUCUCCAGCAAAAUGAUCCCUGUGAAUGACGCGGCGAGGAAAACCGGACCGUCGUCGGUGAUGGCGUCUAGCCUCAAUGUUUAGGGUAAGAAGAUUGACAAGCAUAAGUGUUUCGUCAUCACUAUCACUCGAAUCGGAAUCAUCUUGCCUAUGCCUGUGAGACAUACCGAACAAUGGCUAACUUGAUGAAGUAGUCUUGUUUGUGCCUACAUAUGUGAAGAGAAAGAAUGCAUAUAUAUAGGCGAGAACAGUGUGGCUUCAGGGGGAAGCUCGUGGCUUUCGUUGAAAGCUAACCGUGGCUUCGUGCGUGCGACUGCUCGGGUUUGCUUGCAACGUAAGUGUGGUUCAAUAUAUUACAUCCCAAUUUUUUGUUAAAACUUAUGAUGGGCCACAAUUGUGAAGUAAUAUAUGCAAUUUCCAAUUAAAUGUUAACUGAAAUGUUUUAUUCUAUAUUAUGCGUAAUUUAAAACAAAUUAAUAAAUAUAUUUUUUUCCUUAUUUCAUACGAGUGCAACAUGCCGGACGUGUGAAAAGGAAAAAAUAUAAAUAGAAAAUGAAGUUGGUUAUGUUAGUUAUAUGGAAAUGUAUAUUUAAUGAGUAGAGGGAUAUAUAGGGGAAAAUUUAGGGGGCACGGUUGCGGGACGAGUGAAUAUAGGGGAGGGAAUCUUGCUGACGUGGCUGCAUAGUAACAUUUAGGGGAACGCUUGCGGAUAGCCUAAUGCAACUUGGCUGGACUGGAAUCUGGACCAAAUGAGCGAAAACAAGACAAGCACGUGGAUGGGCUUGCUAAUGGCAAAAAAAUCCAACACACUCCCACCGAUAUCUAAAUAUAAUAACUUUGAUAUCCAUCCUACCCCCACCCAAAAUAUAAUAAGGAAAUUAAACCCAACACAUCCAAUAAUAUUAUUAGCCCUAAACCAACCUGUAAGGGCUUGUUCGGUUUUACUCCAAUCCAUAUGGAUUGAGUGUGAUUGAUGGGGUUUUAAUCUCUAGUAAGUCAAAAUCCCUCUCAAUCUGUAUCAAUCUCCUUCAAUCCAUAUGGAUUGAAAAUAACCGAACAAUCCCUAAUUGGGCGGAAAUCCAUGGAAACCCCGUGGAUUCAGCUUAUUGUCUCACAUCAAGCCACCUGCAUACACAUACACUGAUACACAGUGACAAUUUUAUAAAUAGUUUCAAUGACGUACAAAAAACAUAGUCCACGACAUAAAAAAUAGUGACAACAAUAUUAUUCAAAGUCGCCUAGAGGGGGUGAAUAGGCGAAACCUGAAAUUUAUAAACUUAAACACACACUAAGUUUGGGGGUUAGUGUUAGAAUUAAAUUCAAGUCCGAAGAGAGGUGAAAAAAUCAAACAAGAAUCAAGGCGAGUGAACACGAUGAUUUGUUUUACCGAGGUUCGGUUCCAAAGAACCUAAUCCCCGUUGAGGAGGUCACAAAGACCGGGUCUAUUUCAACCCUUUCCCUCUCUCAAACGGUCACUUAGAUAGAGUGAUCCUUUUCCUUAAUCUCUUGGGCCACUUAGACCCCGCAAGGACCACCACACACUUAGGUGUCUCUUGCUUCGAUUACAAAUCACUUGAGAAAAGAAAUGAGAAAGGAAGAAGGCAAUCCAAGCAACAAGAGCGCAAAUGAACACAAAAUCUCUCUCACACAAGUCACUAAGUGUUUGAGAUGAAUUCGGGACUUGGAGAGGAUUUGAUCUUUUGAAUUGUGUCUUGGAGUGAAUGCUAGAACUCUUGUAUUGAAUGUGAUCUCUGAAAAACUUGGAUGUCAAAGGUUGUGGUGGUUGGGGGGUAUUUAUAGGCCCCAACCACUUUGUAGCCGUUGGCCAAGGCUGCUGGCGAUGGGCGCACACCGAACAUGUACUGUGUGCUGUCCGGUGCACCGCCACGUCAGCCAAAUGUUAGGGUUCGGAGCUGGUUGACCUUUGGAGGCUUUGUCUUCUUGCGGCACCAGACAGUCUGAUGCCCUCUGACUUUGUAGCUCUGACUUUGCCGUGCACUGUUCACCGUGGCAGGGGCUUUUGCAGUCGACCGUUGACGCUGGAUAGUCGUUGCUCCGCUAGCUCACCAGACAGUCCGGUGAAUUAUAGCGGAGCGCGUCCUGGAAUUCCCGAGAGUGACUGGUUUGGAGUUGUACGGGCAUGGUGCACCGGACACUGUCCGGUGCGCGAUUUUUCAGCACACUCAAGUUCUUUUGCUCCAAUUAAGUUGUGUCCCUAACUUGACUUCUUUCUUGGUUUAUGUUGAACCUUAUGCACCUGUAAUACAUGAAUUCUAGACAAACUAGUUAGUCCACGUGUUUGUGUUGAUCAUCAACCACCAAAAUUAAUUAUAGGAAAUGAUUAACCCAAUUUCUCUUUCGAUUAUACACUGAUACAAAAACAAGUUUGGUCGAUGAACAUUUAGGUCUCGAGAAAAUAACAAAAAACAUAUGUUAAAGAUCCUUAAUGAACAAUUAUCUUUUUGACAAGAAAUAUAAACUAGCAGCAGUGGAAAGAGUCUCUGAUCAAGCUCGAAGCUAGCAACAAAAGCCCACCGAAUGACACAUAAAUCUCUCUGUAAGUGAAAAGAAAAGAACCAUGUGUGAACGGUCCUGGGGCGACAGUGUGUUCGCUUCGUAUGGGCAUGGCCCUUCGGCUUGCUAGCCGGGCCGGGCCAGCCCGGUAGCACGCUGGCCCAUCUGAGUAUAUUGUAUAAUUUAACAAAAAAUGUGUGGCUAUGGGGGCUUGAACACACACCCAUGUAUAUGAGAGACUUAAACACACCAACCUAGCCAAUGCAGUUGCAAUUUUAUUGUGUUAUAUGUUGAAUUAUUAUACUUAAUAUAUGUAAACUAUUAUCUUUGAAAUAAAAAAUGUAACCGUGUCAUGCCUGUGCCAGCACUAUGGGUUGAGAUGGCGGCCCAGGCACGACACUAUACUAGCCGGACCGGGUCGUGCCUGGGCCAUGCUUUUUCGUGUCGUGCUUGGACUGGUCCAUCGUGUUAGUGCCAAUUGGCCAUCUAUAGCGCCAGGGGAUAGGGGACAGGGGGCGUCGAUGUCUAAGUGUGAAAGUGUCUAAUUAGCGUCGGGCGUCAGCAGGAGCCAGGGGAGCUCCGUCCGCUGAGGCGAAGACUUGGGGAGAGGGGAGACUCCGGUCACUGGGGCAGGAAGCAUGAUGCGACCGUUGGUGCAUGAGUGAAGACUUGGGGAGUUAGGGUUGAGUUGGGUAUGUUGGGACUUGGGACUAAGUUGGGAGUCGACUCUGUAGGAAACGGGUGACGCCUAAGAGGGGGGGUGAAUUAGGUCUUCUAAAACUUUUACUAAACUAGGCCACAAUUAAAUCCCUAGAGCAAAACCUAUGCAAGAAAUCAAAACUAGAAUGUGCAAACAAGGUUUUGUCUAAGUGUUGCUAUCUCUACCGCAAAAGGCUAAGUUUCAAUCUACACUAAAUAAGUACGACUACAAGAUUGAAACUUAAAUGCUUAAUAUAAAUGCGGAAUGUAAAGAGCUAAGUAGAGAAGCAAACUCUCGUGGAUGACGCUGGUAUUUUUACCGAGGUAUCCGGAACCGCGCAAGGUCCCGACUAAUCCUCGUUGGUGCCCCUACGCAAAGGGAAGCCCACGCGAGGGCCAAGCACCACGGUCGAGUAACUCCGUAGAGAGCCGCAGGCCUUCUCCACGCGCAAGUGGUGCUCCGCUUCCGGCUCCUCUCGGACGCUCCCCGCCGUCUCCACUAUCGAGCUUCCGGCCGAAACGCCGCGGGCCUCGUUCCCUCCGGUACACGGUGGCGGCCGUGACACAAACGCGGUUGUCACGGUCUCGCAAGACUCUCGCCCCACUCGGUACAAUUACAACGGCUCGCGCAAGAGCCGAGGGGUUGUGAGGUUUAUCUAAACUCACUCAACUAACUAGGAUUCACCUAGAGCAAGCGCUAAAGCGGUCUAACUAACCUAAGCACUUCGCAAAGCACCUACGCUAAUCACCGAGUGAUUCUAUUAAGCACUUGGGUGUUUGAGCACUUGGAAAUAUGCACUAUGUGUAUUGGAAUGUUGCUUGGGCUCUCACACUAGAGAAUGGCCGGUUGGGGUGGUAUUUAUAGCCUCCACACCCCCAACUAGCCGUUGGACAGAAAGCAGCAGCUUUCUGUCGUCGGGUGCACCGGACAGUCCGGUGCACCACCGGACACUGCACAGUAGAUGUCCGGUGCACGCCACGUCAGCCGACCGUUGGCGCCUAUAGCAGUCGACCGUUGGAUCCGACCGUUGCCGUCUGCCCGUUGGCACACCGGACAGUCCGGUGCACACCGGACAGACCGGUGCUACAGCCAGAGAGCGCCUGUCUGUGGCCUCUCUGCGCAGACUGUCCGGUGCCUCACCGGACAGUCCGGUGCACACCGGACACCGAUGUCCGGUGCGCCACCUGGCGCUGGCUGACAGCCCUCGUCUUGGAUUUCUUCGCUGAUUUCUUCGGGCUUCUUUGUUCUUGAGUAUUGGACUCCUAUGCAUCUUUUUAUUGUCUUCUUUUGAGGUGUUGCAUCCUCAUUGCCUUGGUCCAAUUCUCUUCGCAUCCUGUGAACUACAAACACAAAACACUAGAAAACUUAUUAGUUCACGGAUUGUGUUGUUCAUCAAACACCAAAACUCAAUUAGCCAAAAGGCCCGGGGUCCAUUUUCCUUACAAUCUCCCCCUUUUUGGUGAUUGAUGACAACACAACCAAAGCAAGCAAAUAAUACAAGUAUUUGAAUGAAAAUAUGCAAUCUACUUGCUAAGAUGCAUGAUUGUCCCCAUAAUGUGAUACUAUGGACUUAAGCCUCCCCCUAACUCCAUAAUUCACUUACUUCCUAUUUUUGGACCAAAUAACCAAAACCACUUGAAAAGCCAUUUGUAGAUAUAAAAUUUUAAAUUGGUGGUGUUUGGUGUUUGAUAUAGUUUUCAUUGCUUUGGCCCCUAAACUUCUCCCCCUUUGGCAUCAACCACCGAAAAGGAAGACAUUAAAAGCAUGUAGGAAGUAAAUAAAAGCUUGCCCUCAACAAGAAUUGUAUCAAAUGAUAUCACUAGAAGGAUAUUAAAUUAAACUAUGAAUGAUACCACUUGUAGGAGUUCCUCAAAAGAUUAUUUCCCUUAAAUGAGUAUUCUCCUUAGAAAGAAGUUUUUCUCCCCCUUUAGAGAUGAAGAAAUACUCCCCCUGACAAAGAUCCUCUACUUAGGAAAAAGCAUGUGAAAAUUAGAGGUGCAAGACAGGAUUUGAAAAGACUAACUUCCCUUAUGCAUAGGUAACAGAAUAUGAGUUAACCACUUAUGCAUUUUUAGCAACAUGGAAGCAUAUGAUAUGAAAUAUAGUCUAAUCAAAUAUUGGAGAAGACAUGUAAAUGAUACUGAAUGUAGUCUCAAAAGAUACCAAUUGAAGAUCAAUGGCGAGCUUGAGAGACAUGAGAGUUCUUUGAGAUUUUGCAGUGGAAGAUUGUUGUCUUUCUCCGGGGACCUUAUUUUCCUUACAAUGAGACUAUCACAUAAAAUAGACUUGAAAAGGUGUUAGUCUCAAAGUGUUAGAUUAUAGAGUAACCUCCCCCUAAAGGUGUGCAUACAAGUUUUGAAUACUUGUGGGAGACAUGCACUUUGAUUUGAUAUCAAGCGGGGCAAAUUAUCCAUAAUCCUAACUUUGGCACAUAUAAGUUAAAUGAUACACUUUGUAGAAAUCAAAAUUUUCAAUUGAUGCAUCAUUUACUAUGGAGUGAUAUAAAAGCUAUGUGACGUGCUUAAAUAAUCAUUUUAAGCCAUGUAGGUUUGCUUAAGUAUAUGAAUUAAAAACAAGCAAUCCUACCAUAUGAUUUACCUAGUAUGCAUGAUUUUAAACAAAGGUACAUGACAAAUGUAAUACUAGGCAAGACAGGUAAACUAGAUAAAAGAUAAAUAGAUACGCAUAUCUAAAAACGAGAAAUACAAUAAAACUAGUUACCUUAGUCAUGGGUGGGAAAUUUGGGUCCAAAGUUUUCACUAACUCACUUGGCAAUAAACUUGAUCCAAUAUGAUGUAUCCCAUGAUAUACAUCCCAAUUUUGCCAAGUCUCCAAAUUUCCCGAAGACCUUCGGUCCACUCACUUCCCUUUCGGGAUCCAAACCUUCUUGGUGCUUUUCAUGGUUGAAAUUAUCUCUUUUGGCACCCAGAUGCGUUUGGCCCCUUUUCCUUUGUUGGCUUGCUUGUUGGCCUUGAUUGCUAUCACAUUUCCAUUCUUCUUCUUUUUGAUUAAGUAUGGUGUAGCAGUCUUUUUAUCCACCUUUUUGAUGUAGGUGUUGGAGAUUUUGCUUGAUGGCUUUUGCUUGAGCUUUUGUCUUUGUUUAUCCCCGGUCAUCGCCUUGCAUUGGAAAGACUUGUGGCCUUCCUUAUGGCACAGCCUACAAAUCACAGUUUCUCCCUCUACAGGCUUGUUCACUCCCGCAGUGGUGUUAUCCUGUGGAGGUCGGAUUUGUUUAGCUUUGCCUUUCUUGUCAUACAAGGCCUUGCCAAGACGAGCCACUUCUUGCUUUAAUUGUUCAUUUUCCUUUGCAACCUCAUCCGAACAUGUCUCUACAACAAUAUUCUCAACAACAACUUGGUUGCAGGGGUUAGAAUCAUCAAUUAAAUCAAAGCAGGAAGUAGAAGCAUCUUUCUUAAUUAUUUCAGGUAUUUCAACUAAAGAUGCUGCUGGGGUGCUACCAAUGUUUUCUAGCUUAGUAGUUAGCUCAUUAUUGUGUAUGCUAAGAAUUUCCAUUUUCUCUAGCAAAUUUUUAAUAGCUUCUUGGGAGCUAGCUAACUUAGCCUUAAGUUUUUCAUUCUUUUUAAUAAGGCUAUCAUCGGUAGCAGUGGAUGGAGCACUAGACUCUAAUAGCUCAAUUUUAGUUGAUAGCUCACUAUUUAAGUUUGCAAAAGUUUCAAAUUUUUCUAGCAAACCUUUGUAAUCAUUUUGAGAGCUAACCAACUUAUUUUUCAAAGUUUUAAGUUGAGCUUUUUGCUUAGUGCAAACAUCCUGGAAAAAAUUAACGGCUUCCGCAAGUUCUUCUAGAGAGGCCUUUCCCUCACCUUCAUCAUCACUACUACUUUCAUCACUAGAGGAUGGAAUGCUUUUGUUACCUCUUGCCAUAAGGCAUUUGUGUGAUGACCGUGAUGAUCGUGACGAGGACCGGUGGCUGCGCGUCCUUGGAGGUUCAUCUUCACUUGAAGAGUCAUCCCAAGUUCCAACACUUGUGAGCGCCUUGCCUUUGCUCCUCUCCUUUUUGGGUUUGGCCAUAUUUGGACAGUUGUCCCUGAAGUGGCCCUUCUCCCCACAUGCGAAGCAUCCUCUCUUCCUUUGCUUUUUCCUGUCAAUGUUAAAGAGAAGAUCCUCGACCUGCAGGGGCACACCCAUUAGAUUAAUCUUGCGGAUCAUCCUCAUUACCUUUCCGACGCGUCGGAUUGUUUCUUCGUCCUCAGAGGAUGAUGUGCAUGGUUGAUUAUCUUCAUCAUCAUCACUUUCUUCUUCUUCCUCUUCUUCACUUGAGGAGCUUGGAGUGGGAGCCUUCUUUUUGCCCUUCCUUUCAUCACAUGCAAAAGCAUAUGGCUUUGAGGAAGUUGGCUCCUCUCCCCGACUCAUUUUUCGCGACAUCUCAAAGGCCGCAAUUUUCCCAAUCACAAUGGUCGGGGUCAUGUUGCUCAAGUCCUCCAUGUUGUGAAGAAUGGUGAUGAUGCUCCCAUAUCUUUGUUGUGGUAGCAGGGAGAUAAUCUUCCUCACAAUGUCCGCAUCACCUAGCUUAUUAAUGCCAAUAGAAUUGAGCUCAUUGAUAAUUAGAUUCAAGCGAGAAUACAUGUCUCUAACAAGCUCAUCAUCUUUCAUAGCAAAAGAAUUAUACUCAUUUAAGACUAGGCAAUGUUUUUGCUCACGGACAUUGGAUGUGCCGUCAUGGAGCUCAUGCAAUUUUAGCCAAAUCUCAUUAGCAGUUUUCAAGGUAAAUACUUGAUUAAAAAUAUCCAUGCUAAGAGAUUCAAACAAACAAUUUUUGGCUCUAGCAUUUAAAUGAAUUUCUUUUUCCUCACUCGUGGUGGGUUUCUCGGGAUUCUUGAGAGGUUUCAUCCCGUCACGAGUGACUCUCCAAACACCUAGAUCAACGGCCUCUAGGUAACAAGCCAUUCUAGCACUAUAAUAUGGGAAGUUAGUGCCGUCGAAGUGUGGUGGCCUAUGGGUAUCCAUCCCUUCCUCUAAAAAGUGUCGGCUCUUUUAGCGGUGAAGCUAAAGCGUUUCAAAUGAGCCAAACCGGGCUCUGAUACCAAUUGUAGGAAACGGGUGACGCCUAAGAGGGGGGGGGUGAAUUAGGUCUUCUAAAACUUUUACUAAACUAGGCCACAAUUAAAUCCCUAGAGCAAAACCUAUGCAAGAAAUCAAAACUAGAAUGUGCAAACAAGGUUUUGUCUAAGUGUUGCUAUCUCUACCGCAAAAGGCUAAGUUUCAAUCUACACUAAAUAAGUAUGACUACAAGAUUGAAACUUAAAUGCUUAAUAUAAAUGCGGAAUGUAAAGAGCUAAGUAGAGAAGCAAACUCUCGUGGAUGACGCCGGUAUUUUUACCGAGGUAUCCGGAACCGCGCAAGGUCCCGACUAAUCCUCGUUGGUGCCCCUACGCAAAGGGAAGCCCACGCGAGGGCCAAGCACCACAGUCGAGUAACUCCGUAGAGAGCCGCGGGCCUUCUCCACGCGCAAGUGGUGCUCCGCUUCCGGCUCCUCUCGGACGCUCCCCGCCGUCUCCACUAUCGAGCUUCCGGCCGAAACGCCGCGGGCCUCGUUCCCUCCGGUACACGGUGGCGGCCGUGACACAAACGCGGUUGUCACGGUCUCGCAAGACUCUCGCCCCACUCGGUACAAUUACAACGGCUCGCGCAAGAGCCGAGGGGUUGUGAGGUUUAUCUAAACUCACUCAACUAACUAGGAUUCACCUAGAGCAAGCGCUAAAGCGGUCUAACUAACCUAAGCACUUCGCAAAGCACCUACGCUAAUCACCGAGUGAUUCUAUUAAGCACUUGGGUGUUUGAGCACUUGGAAAUAUGCACUAUGUGUAUUGGAAUGUUGCUUGGGCUCUCACACUAGAGAAUGGCCGGUUGGGGUGGUAUUUAUAGCCUCCACACCCCCAACUAGCCGUUGGACAGAAAGCAGCAGCUUUCUGUCGUCGGGUGCACCGGACAGUCCGGUGCACCACCGGACACUGCACAGUAGAUGUCCGGUGCACGCCACGUCAGCCGACCGUUGGCGCCUGUAGCAGUCGACCGUUGGAUCCGACCGUUGCCGUCUGCCCGUUGGCACACCGGACAGUCCGGUGCACACCGGACAGACCGGUGCUACAGCCAGAGAGCGCCUGUCUGUGGCCUCUCUGCGCAGACUGUCCGGUGCCUCACCGGACAGUCCGGUGCACACCGGACACCGAUGUCCGGUGCGCCACCUGGCGCUGGCUGACAGCCCUCGUCUUGGAUUUCUUCGCUGAUUUCUUCGGGCUUCUUUGUUCUUGAGUAUUGGACUCCUAUGCAUCUUUUUAUUGUCUUCUUUUGAGGUGUUGCAUCCUCAUUGCCUUGGUCCAAUUCUCUUCGCAUCCUGUGAACUACAAACACAAAACACUAGAAAACUUAUUAGUUCACGGAUUGUGUUGUUCAUCAAACACCAAAACUCAAUUAGCCAAAAGGCCCGGGGUCCAUUUUCCUUACAGACUCGAAUACAGUCCUACGGUUUACGGAUGGGUGAAGACCCAUGGAAGCCCACGCAUAUGCAAACCCAUCUACACCCAUGGGUAUCAACCAUUUUGACCCACAAUACAAAAUAAAGCCACCCAACCCAAACCAUUCACAAUUAAAACCCAUCACAACCCACCAAAAUAAACUCAUUUCUUAAACCCACCUAAAAUACCCACUUACACCCACCCCUUUUUGCAGGCCUACGCGUGGACCAACACAACUCGGCAAGCCAAUAUAGCCGACUACUACCUCAAAAAAUAUUUUUCAACUAACCUUUUUUGUCUGUUUGGUUGUGUCCUCAGCUUAUGUGCCUCGCCUAGGCAGCAUCCCAGCCUCAGUCGACCAAAAGCAGACGCUUGGGAUGGAUGUCUGGACCAAGUUCGACCAGGUCUGAUGUCUCGUUGCCUCUUUUCGUAAUAACCCAUGAGUCAGAUGUUCCAUGGGACUCAAACAUGAUUUAGAAGUGCCCUCGGCAUCCGUGCGCUAGGGUACUGAUCACUUUGGUGCCCACUUAGAAUUGCCCCUCUAUAGCACCCCGGUUUCUCGCUCCAGAGGUUAUAAACCUAACUCCUUACCCCCCUUUAACCCUAGCCUCAUAAUCAUUUCUAUUACUCAUGUGCAUAAACCAUGUAAGGGAAGGGAAAUAGGAAAAGCGAAGGGAAAAAAGAAAACCCUCUCUCCCCUCGGUUGGGCCGGCUUUGGCCCACGUUCGCGACGCCCCUCUCUCGCCCUCGCCCGCGUUCACGCCUCCCCUCUCCCUCGGCCCAUCUCUGGUCUGUCUCUGCGCGUGUCAGCCCGCGUCCCCGCCCCGCUGUCCGCCCGACCCUCUCUCUCUCACUAGCCUUUCAAGAAAACAUGGGGCUCGUGUUGUCGCUCGAGGUAUCGCUACUGAGGGAGUCGUGGUGGCAGGGUCCGAGCUCGGUAAGAUGGCGGGGUCUGAGUGAAAGGGAAAUGGCAUUAAAACCCAUUUCUUGUAUUUUGUUGCUUGAUUACCAUCGUAACCAUUCAGACUGAUUAGUUUGCCUAGUCUCUGAUUCAUAGGUUCGUAAGAUCAACAAUUCAGUUUCUAAGUCGGAAUCAGCUCAGUUCCAACCAAAUAGGGGUAACACAUGGAAUAGAUGAACUAACAGUAGUUCUACUCUUUGGACAAAUUCUAAAUACCCCGAGAAACCUUUUCAACACGUCUAAAAAGGUUGGAAAGCUCGAAAUCAACAUAUCACUAUUGUGGAGCUAGUAUUAGGCAAAAGAAGAUACAUGAGUGAAAGAAUCAAAUUGCAAAGAGGAUUGGACUAAGGAAAUGAGGAUGCAACACCUCAAUAGAAGACAAAAUGAAGCAAAAAGGUCAAAGACUCAAGAUCAAAAGAAGCCCAAAAGAGUCAGCAAAGAAAUCCAACAAUAGAGCAAGACAAGCUUGCUCCAGCCUGCGGCGCACCGGACUGUCCGGUGUGUACCGGACACUGCUGGCGCACCCCAUGAACUGGCCGCUCUCGGGAAAAUGAAGAGCUCCAUGACUAAAAUUCACCGGAUUGUCUGGUGUGCACCGGACUGUCUAGUGAGCCCAGGGCCAAACAGUCAUCUUCACCAACGGACGACUGCUAUGCGGUCAGAAGUGGUCAAAGAAAGUCAGUCACACCGGACAGUCAAUUUAUUCCCCUCUCAGCUAUCUUGAUUCUUUCGGAUAGAAGAGGUCGAGCAACAUAUCUUGGAAGUUUGAGUAUGCAAGCGUUUCUGUGAGGCUUCUCCUAAUACUUUGUCCAGUAUUUUAUGUAUAUAGUCACCCAAAAUACUAUUUUACAAUGUAGACUGUAUUACUCGCAAAGUAAAGUUUAAAUAUAUGUAUGGGUACACCGCUGGAGAUAGCUAAGGAUAUCAACGUUCAUAUUGCAACUCAACACCAAAUUUUUAAAUUGAUCUAGCAAAAAAGUUAUCAUAUUUCUCCCGUGCUUGAUAGUGACAUUAGCAUGAAAAAACUUCCCAAGGAUUUCCAUGGCGUGCUUGAUAGUGACAUUAGCAUGAAAAAACUUCCCAAGGAUUUUCGAGUUGAAACAAACCUAAACCGAGCCUAAUCCUAAGGCUCGUUAGAAGAGCGAGCCGGCUCGAGGCUCGGCCCAAACUCAUGGCGUGCUGAUCUAAAAAGGCCCAUUAGCAAGCAUAUGCCAACUUAGCAAACUCUAGGAAGUAGGAUUUGUACGCAACGUGACCACCUCUGCCUGGAUAAAACUUUUGGACAGAAGUGUCACGUUCAUUUUUUAUAAUGGAAAUAAAAAAUUCCCAGCCCUUUAUAUUUUCCUACAUACGGGCUUGCAAUUUAAAAAUUAACAAAACACGUCAUUAAAAAAGAACAUUUUUAAAAAGAACUUUUCUUUGAAUCAAACGUCCUUUAACCUGGUAUUAGACCUCCAUCUAUAUUUUACAAAAAUCUCUAUUGUCACCCUCUCUAAGAAUUAACAUACCACAAAAAUCUCUUGAUGAGUUUUUUAUUUCUGAAAUAAUCUCCAGAGUCUAAGCCAAUACGUCUUCCUAAAAAGAAUCUAUAAAAACUGAUGAUAUUUAUUUAAAAUUAAAAGCCACGGUACUGGGAGGAAACUCCGUACCACACGCACAUGGUAUAGAAUGGAACUUGGAAACUACCACAUGCACAUGAACAUGAUGAGUACAUCUGCACUGCACAUGAGCUACGAGCCGUAGCUGUGCUGUGCAAGGUAUGUACAGGACACAUACAGGAGAAAGCGUCCAAAAACCUCCAUCCCGCGGCCACGGCCACGGCCCACGGGCCACCAACCCUGUAUGGCUGUAUUGUAAUUGUAACUAACCGUACACGAGCGGCCGCGCUCGAGUAGGAAGCAACAGGGAACAGGGAACAGUAGCAGACUGCCAUCCAUCAGUCGCGGGUGUCUGAGGUUCGAUUCAACUGAUGAGUGGGAUGCGAGCACUUGCGGCUUCGGGAGUCCUCCAUCCCACGGAUUCACGCCUGAUUGCCUGUGCGGCGGCGAAUAAUCAGCUGCCGCGGCAGAUGGAUGGCAGGAGCCGCCGGGCCGGCGAACCAUGGUUGUCGCACACUACCGCGGGGAGCGCUGACUUCUCUAGCCCAUUGCCUGCCUGUCAAGGACUGGCAGAACCAAAACCAAUAAAACCCAGACGACAUCAAUCACCUCAGCCAGAAACGAACUCGCAACAGCCUCUCAUCGAGUACAUGUACUAUUAAAACCAUUGUACCUAGCCAAUAUAAUAUCGAAAUAAUUUCUAGAAAAAUCUCAGAGACACGUUUUCUGAAGAGGCAUAUGACGACAUUUAGACGAGUGUGAUAAUAUUUAGUCCCACUUUGCUGAUUAAAGCGGAGGAAACAUAAACUAAAUAAUUGUCCGCUCUUCGUAGUCUCGCACGUGUUGAGCAAUAGGUACAAGGUAGAACACACUCGCCUCGUCCUCGCCGGGUGAAGAGAGCGGACACACGACAUAUAUGUGAACGGCUGAUCGAAAUUAGAGUCCAAGCCUUGCGCGCUCAGUUCUUUUUUUGGUUCUGUUUUAUCGUUUAUUCUAUAAUCCUUAUCAACGAGAGAUCGUCAGCAUUCUUUAUCCGGUGUGUAUCCUUAUCUGAUGCAGAUCAUUGAAUUCUUAUCGCGUACGUAUUUUUUGGAAAAAACAUUAUAAAGUUAUGGUGACUACAUCGUUUACCAAACAUGUCGUGCUUAACAAUGUGGACUCCAGUAUCUAUCACCAGAACAAGACAUAUCUGCCGCUACAGCAAAACAUGCUCGACACUGUUGUAUGACUGGGGCGUGCACGUGCACCACGUUUGACAGGAUAUAAGCAGUUGAAUCUAUGUUGGACGGGGUCCAUUAAUGAGCAUGCUAUAAAAGAGAGUGUUAUGAAUCAAUACAACAUAAAGUAGAUCAAAUACAUAGAAGACAUAUUUAAUGUGGAAAACCCCUCCAAGUCGAAGGAGAAAAACACGGGCACCGACCAGCAACAAUCUCACUAUUUUCGGGUGGUUACAUAUCGCAUGAGACUUACAAUGAGAUUAACUAUCUCCUGUGGAUUACAAGUGUAUUUAUAGAGAUGAAACUUUAAACUGAGUAGGGAACGAUUCGGUCCAAACCUCCCGGCAACGGUCCUCCGCUUCGCUCGCCAACUUGACCGCAUUCUUCAGAAUUUGGAGCACAAACUCAAUAGAGACGAGUACAACAACGUAUAAAGGGGCACUCACACGUAGGGUUUGAUCCACAAUCGAUUCACAUACCGCAAGCUAGGUCGAACCAAGGGUCCACAAUUGUAGGGGGACACACGAUGCCAGUUAGCCUACAACUCUCACCAAAAUUAAAGGAAAAUGGAGAGGUAGUCGAUCGUCUAACUAACAUUGCUUAAUCUUAUCCACCUCCACAUUCACCAAUUCAUUUGUCAUAAAUAAGAUGUGGAGUAUCUUGCUUCCGUGAUCCGAAUCUUUGUAAACCGAUUAUGUGUUGGUAGCAAAUAGCGGUACCCUACAUCUAGCAAGCCUCUUGCCUAUAUCCUUCACUCAGUUAGUAACUCUACAAUUUUUUGGGGUACCUACAUAUCCUAAUGUCAUUAGGUGGUGGCAUUUGGCAUGCCAUGUAUAGGAGAUUUUGGUUGGUGUGCUUAGUUGUGUUGUGGUGCCAUGGCAUCACCGAUACACUUAUAUAAUGGAUAUAUAUUUUUUCUUUUUUAUAUCUCAUGAUACAAGAUAAACUAGAAACUGUAAUUUGAUAUAAUGAUAGGGUAAAUAACAAAGUAUAUCUAUAAUUUUAAAGAAUCUUUAGAUCUUUUGAUAGUUAGAUUCCAUAUAAAAUUUGAUUAGACAACAGACUCAACCCGACACUUUGGCCUAUUUGGGAAAACUUUAUCUGAAGAGGUUUCCAGAGAAUCUGGAUUCCUAAAUAAUAUAGUUGUCGGUAGAAUCUUAAUAUCGUAUGGUUUAAGUGUGAAAGAAGUUGAAAGGGCCUGCAUGGUUUAAGGUGGUUUAGGAAGCGACUGAUUCCUCUCGUCGCGAUGACUCGACAUGUUCUACAUUUACAUUGAGUUGAACGAUUUUUACAAAAAAUAACAAUUCUUAUAAAAACAUAUUUAGAAGCAAACCAUUUAAUCGACGAGAACUGAUUCUCACGACCAAGAUGUGACUAAAGCCGAAACAAACACGAUCUAAAUUAUAGUAUAGCCGAAACAAACAUGACCUAAAUUACAGUAUAGCUAUAAUCCAGUGCCGUCCACAACGGACGCAAGUGAGAAUAUUGCGCUCGUCUCUUCACCAACUCUGGAUUUGGACUCACAUGGGCGCGUCGCGCUUUCUUCAUCCUUUCGUUUGUUGUACUCCAUCCGAGAGAAUACACAACUCGCACCAGUUGCUUGCUCAAGACCACCGACCAUCAUGGGCAAGGAAUUGAGGCGGUAUGCGUGCACCGAAUCACCGAUACGUGCAUGAGACUAUGAGAGCAUGAACUGUUUGCGGCGGCCAGCCAGCGCAGGUAACUUUACGCGAAGCUAGCGACGUCAACGUUGAUGGACACGGAGAUGCCGACGCCUCAUGCGUUUUGGCUGCCUUGACGUGACUCUAAGGCUGCCCGCAGUGGGCGACUGCAUGCCCGCGUUACCUGAUUUAGCGUAAAAAAAAUGCUGCAGCGCAGGACUCUACCCGAUACUGCAUGCUCUGCGUUACGCUAUUUCUAGCGCUCUCUCUCACCUACGCCAAACAGAGGCAGUGCAACUGCAGCAGCAGAGAUGGGCCCACGACUGCACGCUCUCUCCCACAAUCGCUAUGAAGUGCACGCAAGCACAGUAGAAAAAAUAAUAUAAUAUGUGGUAUUUGGUAUAGGGUUGAGAUAUAAAAUAAACAUGAGUGCGGAGGAUUCUGGUAUAGAGUAAAGAAUUUUGCUGACCAGGAUAGAAUAUUCUUUUUAAGGUAGAAAUUUAGAGUAGUAUGAGUGCAGAUAGCCUAAGUCUGUAACGGCAAAGCCUAGCCAGUGCUCCGGCGACCCGACCCGAACCUUUUCGCGGUGCAUGGCGCACGGGCAUCAUGCUGCGCCCCCGUUUGCGCAGCUGCAGCUAGCUCGCUCGUCUUUUCAGCUUUUGCGAAGUCAGCAAGUGCGUGUGUUGUGAGAGACUGCUGCGUCUGCGUGCCGCCCGCCCGCCCGCCGCCGCCGCCGCCACCGCUAACCAGGCGGCUUUUACGCUCGACACAUGACGCGCCACCGCCGCGCCGGCCUAUCCACCUACGCCGGCCGGGCCUCCUUCAAGUGCUGCUCCAGAAUCGUACGCGAGAUCCUCACGAAAAAAAAAGCUCUUUUCCGCGCCAAAGUUCCGCUCGCUCUGCACAGCAUCCCAUCCCACUCCCACCUCAGGCGACGAAUCUUUGGUGCCCAGCGCACACAAACGAACACACAAAUCGACCCUCCACCGCUACAGAGAGCUAGAGUGGUAUGUAAGCGUGUAAGGUGUAACCUUCGUCGCUUGUUUAAUAAAGCUAAAGAAGACAAGCAAGGAGUAACCGUUAAAUAAUAAAAGCCAUCAUCUUCGUCGCUCGCUUGACGCUCGUCUCGCCACAAAACGACGGCGGGCACAUGCACGCUUCGGUGUCCGAUGCCGCUCGCUGUGUAGUGUGUAGUAGUACGCGAACUCGUGAGACAUUGGAGACCUAAAACAAAAGCUGAGCUCCAUAUCGGGUUCGUGGACGCCAUUAUUGCCGUAGCCUCUACUUGCCACGCUCCACCUACAUUCCCAAGGCCAAAGAACCCCAGACGCGGACACGGAUGAAAAUCCAAGGUUUUGUGCAGUGGAGAGGACGAGCACCCACGCGAACACUUUUCAAAGCCCUCCCUCCCUCACUGGCACACGCUAACCGAAGAGCGAGCGCACCAGGCGUAGGAGUAUGGUUGUUUGGUAGCUAGACAAAGAAUUGAGGGGGUGGCCAGAACCGCCAGAUGCUGCGAAGGCGCAGAGCCCGGAGCACCCAGCAGCGACCUGUUCCGUUGGCGUUGGCUCACCACCCGACCACCGUGCGCGCGAGCAAAGAGAGCCCCUGCCCCCCUGCUGCUCUCCGCGCCCACUGUUCCCUCUUCAUCCAGGCACAGGUGACACGGGCACCUGUUCACCUUUGCAGGGCCCUGAGCCCCUGCGGCCGGCCUGUAGCCCUGAACUGAUGAACCUGCAGUUGCAGCUCAUUUUGCAAGACACGGACAGCUCUCUCCUUUUCGUGCUCCCUUUGCUCCCUUUUCUUUCAGUCGCUUCACACUCCACGGACUCGAGCUUUGGCUUUGUGGCGCCUGUGAAUCUGCCAACAAAGAAAGGACUGAAGGGGGAGGGAGGAGAGGGCUGAUCCAAGUGCUUUCACCCAUCUGCUUGUUUCUCCAUUUGUUGGCCUGCAAUGGCGGGGAGCUUCGACCUGAGGACGCCAACCAGAGGCGUCGAGCAGGUGAGUCAAAAUCUCCUCCCCCCCUUACCCAUUUCCACUCCAGUUCUUGGAGGAUUUCACGACCAUUUUUAGUAGCCUGGAGCGGGAAGGCUUGAUACUUCUUCUUUCCUUAGCCAUUUUCGGGGGAUUCUAUAUCUGCAUUUUUUUGGGGGGAAAUGAAACGCAGAGCAUUGGGAUGCACCUACUGAUUGCUUCAGCUCGUUGCUUUGUUCAGGCUAUCGUUGCUCUGAAGAAAGGCGCACAUCUCCUGAAAUGUGGCAAGAGGGGGAAGCCUAAAUUCUGCGCCUUCAGAAUAUCAUCUGUGAGUAAUCUAGUGCCUGCGAUUUCCCUUCAAGAAAUCCUAGAACCUGUCUUUGAUACAGGGAUACUCCCUUGUUGUCCAUGAUUUCAGUUUCUUCUUCUUAUUUUUCUUUUUAUUUACACACGACUCCUAGUUUACGAAGGGGGGCUUUAGUACAAUAGUUCCUAGGGUGGUAACUCUGAAGUUACAGAGAUCUAAUGGUACAACUUUUUACCCCAGUUCAUUCUGCUAGAAAUGUUGAACUAGAUGUUUAAAGCUCGUGUCCUUCGGAAGCUGCUUACAAGCCCUGCCAGAGAGAGACUGACAUCAGGUUUAAAUAGAUUGGAUAGCGAGUAAUAAUAUUGUUCUCAACCAAUAAAUUACAGAAGAUUCCUUUGAAUCCCAUUUCCUGAAAUGUCACAGAACUGCAAAUACCCCUGUCGAUAUCAUAUGAUUCUAUAAUACAGUUCAAACUUUCGAAGCUAGGACCACCAUUCCAAGCCUUAGUUCUAGAGCAGCCCAACUUUUGAACCGUGGCCACUACUAGUCAUACAAGUAUUUAGGUUUGUCACAUGACAAAUGAUAUUAGUAUAUUGGUUAUCAGAAAUUCAGAAGUGCCUCCAGUCUUUAUUUCACAAUUUUUGCAUAGACAUGGUCAGAAGAAGUAGCAGUCAAAUGUUUAUAUUUUGACAUUAAUAUAUUUUGGAGGGGGAAGUCAUAAAGUUUGGUCCAAUUGAACCGUGAGACCUUGGCAGUUUCCUGUGGCUAUUGUAUUCUAGUUGAAUUGAAGCUUGUUAUGUUGUGUAUAUGUAGUUCACUAGUUAUAUGAAAAUCCACCUUCCAGUCAUGGUGAAAUAUUUUCUUAUAUUUUCAGGAUGAGACAACAUUAAUAUGGUACUCAAAAGGGAGGGAAAAACACUUGAGCUUAAGCUCCGUGUCAGCUGUGGUUCUUGGCCAGAAGACGGUAUACAAUUAAUUUUGUGCUGAAAGAAUAGUCAUGGUAUUCAUUAUUCAUAUUAUAACACUGCAACCAUUUCUAAAGAUUUCAGAAUUUUGCAGAUAAAAUUUCUGCGACAGCGUUGUCCAGAGAAGGAACCCCAUUCCUUUUCACUUAUAUACAAAAACGGAGAGCGCUCACUUGACUUGGUAUGUUCAUUGCAAUGUCCAAGUCAUUUUGGUCUGCAAGUCUGUAGUCCAUUUUUCCUCACCAGCACCAUAUUUUUGAAAAACAAUGACCAGAUCUGCAGCGAUAGAGAUCAAGCUGAAAACUGGUAUCUGGGCUUGAGGGCCCUAUUACCAACUCCUUGUAAUCCAUGUUCAUCAAUUGAAUCAAGGAGCAGUAGGCAGAUCGACAGUUGUACAAAUACUCCCAGCAGCUAUAUUCAGCUUAAGAGUAAGUUACUAAGUGUGCAUGGCACACCAAGGCACAUACAGGUUAGUUCAGGAAGUUACAUUGUAGCAUCUGAAUGAUAACACUUGUAUAGCUCGCUUUGGCAUUUUUCUCUGGUAUUUCAUGUAGCAACAUUUGUUUUUUUUCUCGGGAAAGGGGAUUCACGUGGCAACUACAGGGCAGGGACUGUCUGAAUUUGAAAUUCAGGAGGCCAAUUGAUAAACACAACAUUCUUAAGUUGUACCAACUUAUAUCAAUCUCAGCAAACCACACAUCUAUGAAUUAUGAUUGCAAGGGUACUAGUAAAUGAGAUCAACAUUGAAAUGAUUUUGACUUUAUGAACCCAACAAUUUGUGUAGUUUAAUCUUGUCCAUAUGUAAGUAGGCAUACCUUACUGAUGCGCUUUUCUGUUUCUAAACACUUAAUUCUCUUGGUUAAAUUACAGUCUUCUGUUUGGGUCUAACAAUUCGUCUAAUGCACUUCAUGUUAAGGUAUGUUCAUCGCAAAGGAAGCCCAAGAAGGCACACGGAACAUUUUUUGGUGGUAGCGCUGAUUGUUCAGAAUCAUUAUUUUACACAAGGCAGCGAACAUUCUCUGACAUAGGUACCUACUUGGAAAAUCUUACACGCAAGAUGUCAAAUCCAGAAAUACAUGAUUUGAAGGAUGUUAUGGUUGGUAACCAAGAAAAGGAGCAGAAAAUUACCCAAACACCUAAACUGAAAACCUUUGAAGGACCCCGUGCAGCAUGUAGGUUAGAUUCUCUGAAGGAUGUUUUUUUCUGGGGUGAUGCUUUUGGAAGUAUUUUAGAGUGUGGUGAUACCUCAAAACCCCUUCCAAUGUUAGUGGACUCAACGAACAUGCUUGAUGUACAAAGCAUUGCUUGCGGAGAGACUCAUGCGGCCAUAAUCACUAAGCAAGGAGAGGUCUACUCCUGGGGAAAUGAGAGCAGUGGCAGAAUUGGAAAUCAAGUAAAUAUCAAAGUCUCCCGGCCCAAGGUCGUUCAAUCUCUUGCCUCUUUACAUGUGAAGGAUGUGGCCUAUGGAUCAAAGCACACUUGUGCAGUAACUGUUUCUGGUGAACUUAUUGAAUGGGGAGAAGGACCCUAUAUGGGCCAGUUGGACAGCUAUGCGAGGAAUCAAUGGUUUCCGCAUAAAUUGUUUAGUCCACUGGACGGCAUAUCUGUUGUGAAGAUUGCUUGUGGUCCUUGGCACACAGCAAUAAUAACGUCUUCUGGUCAGUUAUACACAUAUGGGGAUGGAACAUUUGGUGUUCUUGGUCAUGGAGAUACACAAGGAACUACCCGGCCUAAAGAAGUAGAGUCUUUGAAAGGCUCAAGAGUGAAAUGUGUGGCAUGUGGGCCAUGGCACACAGCUGCCAUUGUGGAAGUGAUCAGUGAUUUCAAGAGCAAUUCACCAAGAAGCAAGCUGUUCACAUGGGGCGAUGCAGAUCGGGGGAAGCUGGGUCAUGCUGACAAAAAGAUGAAGCUUAUACCAACAUGUGUUGAUUCACUCACAGACUAUGAUUUUAUUCAGGUGUCCUGCGGGACGGCACUCACUGUUGCUCUCUCUGUUACUGGUGUGGUCUUUACUAGUGGCAGUUCGAUGCAUGGGCAAUUAGGGAACCCCCAUGCAGAUGGUAAAACUGUUUCUGCUGUUGAAGGACUACUUAAGAGCGAGUUUGUCAGACAUAUAUCAUCAGGUUCUUCCCAUGUAGCAGUGGUGACUACAAAUGGGAAAGUGUUUACAUGGGGUAAAGGCAAGGAAGGGCAGCUUGGUUUAGGUGACUUCCUUAAUAGGAGCACUCCAACUUUAGUAGAUGCAUUGGAAGGUAGGCAUGUGGAAAGCCUAUCUUGUGGUUACAACUACACUGCAGCAGUAUGUCUGCAUAAAGUAAUCUCAAGGAAGGACCUCUCUGUAUGUAGUGGUUGCAAGAUGGCUUUUGGUUUCACUAGAAAGAAGCACAACUGUUACCAUUGUGGAUCCAUGUUCUGUAAUUCCUGUAGUAGUAACAAGGUUGCCAAGGCAGCACUUGCACCAGAUAAGAGCAGAAGGUAUCGUGUGUGUGAUGGGUGUUUCAGUCAGCUACUGAAAGUUGUGGAUUCUGGUAAGGUAAAGUCUGAACUAAAUACCAGCAAAGGAGCUGAAAUUAUAAGGUCAUACACACCAAAGUUGUCUCGUAUAUUCAGGGAUGUAAACUUACCUGUGGAAAAGGAAAAGGUGGCUUUAGUACAACGCUCCAAUCAGAGAAAUGAGGUCCUGUACACUCCAGUCCAAGCGAAAUCUCAGAGAUGGGGGCAAGUUGAGUGCCCAGCUCAAUUUCUAUCUGCAGAAGACAGUUCUCAUUAUCAAUCUAUAUCGAAGAAUCACAUGUAUAGUGCCUCUGUUUCCGAGAGAAUGCAUGACCCCACAGUGCUGAAGUCUGGCAGAUCUUUGCAACAGCCUAAUGAUGACCAGAGGAAAGAUCUUAACAGCAUAGAAGAAACCUUGCUCACUGAAGAAGUAAAGCAGCUUCGUUCACAGGUAACUUUAUGAGUUUAUGUCAUUGAUAAGCAAAUAGUUUGAUCCCCUUUCCAGAACUAAACGAGAUGAUACUGUUAGACAUGCGACCAGGCCAGAACUGAGAUUUCGGUGGCCUAGAGCGAACAUAAAAAUUGGGCCUCCUAUAUAAGUAUAACAUUUUUUUCAGUAUACAUAUAUAUAAUCUUACAUUAUAUAGAUAAUAAUUAAUGUAAUAUCAAAAUAUUAUACCAAAUAAAAUUUACAAUGCCUCAAAAGUUUCUUCUAACAUUUUUUGAGGUGGUCAUCAAUGAUUACGUUGAUAUCAGUCAUAUCUAAUAUUUUUUUCUCGAUACAUAAGGUGGCCAAACCAUUCGAUCGUUCUUGAGAGAUUGUAGAUCUCAAGUAGUUGAUGUCACCAUGACAGAUAUAGUAAAUAAGAUUCGAUAAGCUAUAGAAACAUUACGAUAUGAAUUCAUAAAAUUGGCAUACUAAUAAAUCUCCAUAGAAGACAUAGGUGGUUCUGACAAGCUUAACUUUAAAACUCUUAAUAUUAGCUAUAUAACAAACUGCAGGAGUUGGGGCCCUAGGGCGGCCGCCCUAGUGGCUCUAUGCCUAGAGCCGGCCCUGGACCAGCUCUUGGGUAUCUUGUUCCUGAUGGCAUAGUUUGUUGUCUUUGUUGCUCUCUAUGAUCUAAAACAAGCUUCUCGUAUUGUUUGAGCGCUUUGCCUCUGUAAUCGCUGGUGCUAGUUUUGCUUUGAGAGCUCAUGACAGACCUUGUUUGUUCAUACUUCAUCACGUGGUCACACUCUUCAUUUUUAUGUUGAUGAUAUGAUCAUCACCGAUGAUUCUGAGUGUAUUGCCUUUGUCAAGGCACGUCUUAGUGAGCAAUUUCUCAUGUCCGAUCUUGGUCUUCAUUAUUUUAUUGGGAUUGAGAUUUCUUUCACCUCUCAUGGCAUUUAUUUGUCCUAAGAAAGGUGCAUUUAAUUGUUCUUCCCUCACCGGCCAUCACACUGUUGAGACUCACAUCGUGCUUAAUCUCCAAAUUCGUGCCACUGAUGAUGAACCCUUCACUGAUCCCACAUGGUAUCGCCAUAUUGUUGGGAGGCUUGUCUAUUUGGGUGUGACUCAUCCUGGUAUUUCAGUUGCUGUGCACAUUCUUCGUCAAUUUGUUUUCGCUACUACUCACCUCCACUAUAACCAUCUUCUUCAUGUCUUGUGUUACCUUUGUGGACCAUUACUCGAUGUUUGUUCUUUCCGCGCUCUAGCUCUAUUCAACUCCAAGCCUACUUUGAUGCUACUUGGGUUAGCGAUGCUGAUUGUCGCUCUCUUUCUGCCUAUUAUGGUUUUCUUGGUGGUUCUCUCAUUGCUCGGAAGAUUAAGAAACAGACCGUGAUUUCUCAUUCAAGUGCAGAUGCUGAGUUGCAAACUAUGGCUCUUGCGACAGCAAAGGUUACUUGGCUGUGACUGUGUCACUGUGAUGGUACUUGAGGAUUUUGGUGUUUCAGUUUGUGUGCCAACUCCUCUCUUGUCUGACUGGUGCUAUCAGCAUAGCUUGUGGUCUGGCGAAGCAUGGGCUCACUAAACAUAUUGGUGUUGAUGUGUCUUGGACUCGGGCCCAAGUGCAGGGUGAUGUCAUUGCUCUUGGCUACGUGUCCUUUGAGCUUCAGUUGUCUGACUUCUUCACAAAGGCAUAAACGAGAGCUCAGCAUCUGCACUGAGUUUUCGCAAUCCUCCCUGAGUUUGAGGGGGGUUGUUAGAUAUAUUUUAUGUGUUUGUAUUUUCCCUUUUGUAUAAGGGUGUCUUUGGCUCUUUGCAUACCUGUACAUGUACAUAUUGGGUUAAAGCACUUCUCAAUGCAAGCUCUAUUCUAACAGAUAUUAUUGCUGCUGUUUCAAUAGAUGACACUUCUCAUGGAGCAAUACCAUCAGAAAGCUCUUCAGGUUGAACUGUAUAAACAAAAACUCGAUGAGACAUGGCUAAUUGUUAGGAAUGAGGCUGCAAAAUGCAAAGCUGCCAAAGAUAUCAUAAAGGUUCUAACUGAUCAGGUAUGGGCAUAAACCAUACUCUGAUUCCAAAGUAUUGUCAGCACACUGUUUCAGUUGCAGUUUUAGUUUCAGUAAGAAAGAAAGUGUCAUGCAUCACUUUGUCUUGUUUGACAUGUUUGCCUGUUGUGAACUGUGCAGUGUAAGGCCUUGUCAGAGAAACUUUUGGUCGGUCAGCAAUAUGAGAACCUUGAGACAAAAUCUAAUAUCAGCCAAGGACAAACAUUUUCAGCAGAUUUGCAACAUCAUCCCAGUGAAAAAUUUGCCACAGGCAAAUUCGGACAACUCGACAACACCAAAAAUCACCAGACCAGCAGCCAAGGAGACGAAGAAUAUACACCUUCUUCAAGUUCUGAUGUGCAGGUAGAAGGAUUGUGUGGUCAUUUGAAUGGUUCAAGAACAUUUGACAGUAAUGGCCGUAUUACAGAAGGGAAUUCCAUUGUUGCUCGCGUCACCUCCAAUGGUGUGAUCGAGCAAAUCGAGCGUGGGGUGUAUGUCACAUUUGCUGUAUCACCUUGUGGCAAGAAAGACAUAAAACGUGUACGAUUCAGGUGGGGUCCUAGAAUGACUUACUGGUGCUUCAUUUUACCUUUCACAUUUGCAGUAACCUAACCAGGCAUUCUUGGUGCAGUCGGAAGCAUUUUGGCGAGAAGGAAGCUCAACACUGGUGGGAAGAGAAUAAGGGCAGCGUCUAUGCAAAGUACAGCACUGAAAAAGCGCAACAUCAGCUAGAGGUUACAAUCAAGAGUGUACAAGAGUAACCACAAGUUGGAUUGGGUUACCUACUGCUGAGCAAGAUGAAAAAAUGACAUGGAGCAAAUAAGAUGAUAUUAACGGAACAGAUAACUGACCGUCCUUUUUCAAUGAAAAUAGGCAGUUUAACUUAUUGUAGAUACGAAUGUACAGAUAAGAAUGAGUGAAUGACGGCUGGAUGCCUCCUUUCUUUUCUCCAUUUCCUCCUGAUUCAGUUGGCAUGAUCUAGUCUGAUGAACAAUGCAGUGCUGAAUUGAACCAGUAUCAGUCGUAAUUUUCUGGCAGAAAGUAGAAUUUGUUCAGUAUUAGUUGUUUCCCUUGAUUCUUCAGAGCAACUAAACCUGCAACAAUGGAAGUUUCAGACACAAAGCUAAUAGUUGUCAGCGUUCAUAUUCUGACGGAGAAAGCAUCCAACUGAAAACAGUUCUAACACUCGGCGCCAAUAGGAAGGCAAGGCUUAUCCUUUCGAGUCUCCACCAUACCACCACCAACAAUGGCGAGCAUUCACGCCGGCUUUGCCUCCACCAUCGUUGCUUGCAGAAGCUUUAGCUUCACUAUCGUGGCAUGCCCCUCCCCCUCGCCCGCGCAUUGUACGGCCUCCUCUUCCAGUGGGGUCCGCAACCAGCGGCGCAAAUCCACUCCCCCAGCCGCCGAGUGCCUCCCAUGGCGCCGCCACCAGGUUGCACGUCAGCGGUAGGCGCCCCGAUCUCACUGCACUCCUUUAGGGCUUCAUGCCAACGAUUUUCAGACGAAAUUUGAAAUGUCCACAGCCGAAUUCAUAUAAUCGCGCACCUAUUUGGGGUUCCCUCUGUCGCUAAACUUUAGGGUUGGUGACUUUAAUUGACUAAGGGAUGCCUAGUAGGGUGUGUGGCUUUAUUUGAAAAAGUAAGAUUCCCUUGAAAAUCAAAUUCUUCAUUUGGCAGAUUUUUAACAAAAAACUUCAGGUUGCCCUGUUGAAGGCUAAAAUGAGCCUGGCGGACGGUCCGGCCCUGAGGCCGGACGGUCCGCGGUCCGGACUGUCCGUGGUGGUGGCGCGGACGGUCCGCGCGCGCAGAGUCAGUUAGGGUUCCUAGUUUCUCGCGGGAUUUGUUACCUAAAACCGCGGGAUUAACUCGGGAAACAGUUGGAAACGGAUCCAGACCUCCCCCUUUAUAUAGAUAAAGGGCUACGGCCGAUUAAACCCCCCAACAAUCGAACCAAUACAACUUCUAUCUCGUAUUUAUUUUCAGCACAAUUAGGAGUAGUUCUAGUCUAGUUCUAGUUUAGCCCUAGUUUAGUAUUCCAAUCCCCAAAUUCUCUGCCUCUCCUCGACUCUACGUCGAUUAGAGGAGUCUAGGUCGGCCGGCCCGAGCCUAGACAACUCCUAGGAUCUCUCCUCCCCGACGGGGUCCCUCCCGGGAGCGAGAUCCAGGCGCCGCCGGCGAUCUUUCGCCGCCCCUGCGCACGCGCGGACCGUCCGGUCCUAGAGCGCGGACCGUCCGGCCGUCAGGCAGAGAACCCGAGCUCCUGCACCAGGUCGCGGACCGUCCGGCCCUGUGCCGCGGACCGUCCGCGUCUGACCAGAGAGCAUCGCCGCCUCGCGCCAGGUCGGGGACCGUCCGGCCCCAAGCCGCGGACCGUCCGCGCCUGACCAAAGAGCACCGCCGCUGGUUCUUUUGAGUGAUUGGCGCCUCCAAAAGGUGUCAACAUACCCAAACUUUGAUUAAGAAAGGUUAGAAGGGUAAUGUAAAUUGAUGUGUUUGUGCUACCCCAGAAUCAUUUGAUCAUAUUGUCUUCGAAUGCGUCAUAGCUAAGUUGACUUGGACAAUUCUGCGAACUGUUUUUAAGAUGGGAGUUUUCUGAGACAGGCUUCAGGGCAAGGGUCUCUACCGACUAGAUUAAUCGCGUUUCUUUUUUUGUAGAUUUUGCUGGAGCUCUUUGGACCACUAGGAACAAGAUGACCAUCGAAAAGAGGUUCUCAAAGACAUUAACUGAUAUAGUCUAUGUUGUUUUUUUAACGUUCAAUUAAGAAAAAAAUAGAUUUGAUCUAGUUUUAAGAAAAAACAGGUCUAAAACCUACACAGAGCGCACAAUACAACCUAGACAACAUCCCCACCCUCAUAAAAGUCAUCCAGAGUCAUUGUUGACGAGCUCAACACAAGGGACGACUAUCUCUGACUCCGCAAUACGGGCAACACAUGGCUAAACGAACUUGACGACACCUACACCUAAACACGGGCAAAGGAGGAGGCAGAUCGUGGUGCACCGUCGUUGCUAAGCCGCAACACAUCCACGCGAGGCAACUCUGAUUCUUCACCAACGAGCUUGAUCCUUCGCCCCUCCCGCAGCAAUUGCCCAACCUCCAAAACAAUUCAAUCCACGGGGAAGGGGUUCGCCUCAUGUCAUGGUUGUCGCGCCACAUCCUUGACACAACAGCUUCGACUUCACGUGGCAAAACCCUACAUCCACCGACAUACCAGACGUCGAGAAGUGAAAGCAACAACCGAAGGCGAUAUCGUGACCGAGACGAACUUCAAUAGCGACGCCUUCAGGAAGGAAGUGACGUCUGGAACGCCAUCGUAGCUUGUUCAAUAUGGAUCGAGCUUUUGCCUAAGAAAGACAGUGAUGGACAACUGGGGAAUGUGACACCCUUAACAGGGAAAGCGACGUCGACGAGCGUCACCGUCGACGAGGCUUUCGCCCAAGAAGUCCUUCAACACAUCACCAGGCCAAGGCCCCGGGACAAAGCAUGUAAUCUCUGCCAUCACCGUCGCCCUGACAUCGCGCACAAACCCUUCUAAAGGGGCAACGAAACAUCGUUUGUCACAGCAACUGCAAAGCUGUGUCGGUCGCCACUCCCUCCGGCUAGGCAGACAGAACCAGACAACACCUUGCCGCGUGCGUCACAUUGUUACGCGCCAGAGCCGAUGCCGACAAACGUUGUCAGUCCUGGCACACGUAGCCACCGAAGUCAGCUGCCGCUGGGCACCCUGCCGCCAUCACCACCCUAUGCCAGCCGAGGGAUUUGGCACAAUAGGUCGCUCUAUCUUGCCGCUCUUUAUAAUACACCGCUUCGAGCCGGGGUCGUGAAAAAGGGUCGCUUGAGUCUGUGCGCUGGCCAAAAGAGGUCAAUGUUGCUUUUGACGUACCUGGCAGUGUUGCAAUCUGCCGAUUUUGUCCUUACGGCCGCUCACAACGCCGUCUUCUCCCCCCAUUUCCCUUUCUUCAUCUCUGGACGACGCUUUGCUGUCGACGCGGGAGCCGCCGAGCCCUCAUCCCAGGCGUCGUCGCCGCCGCCGUCACUCGCGGACUCGUGCCUGCCGUCCGCCUUCCCGUUCCUCAGCAACGGCAGCUUCUUCCCCGCAGCUCGACCUCGGCGGCGUUGCGCUUGCACCCCCGGCCUUCUCCUAGUGGCAGUCGGUGGUGGUCUCGGACUUGUACGACGGGCUCGCGCCGUGGGACGACGGAGCAACGACGGGCGCGUGGGACGACAUCGGUGGCCUCGACCUCAGCUGGACACUGCAGGGGAACUGAGUGCCAGCCGCCGUCGCCGUCUUGAGGGGCUCCGGUUUUAGCAGUGCGGCCUCGUCAGGUUCAGUUCAGUUCCUAGGAAUGUAAACCAGCUCACAAUUCUCCUAUAUAUGUCGCCUCCACUAGUUUCUUCUCGUCUUUACUGCGAAUGAAAUGGUGGGGCUGCUAGUUAGAUCAGUGAAUCUUGAUCUGUAGCUGGAGCCAGAGUGUAAGAUCUGUGCAGUGAUUUAUCGUGACAAUAAAAUUAAGUUUGUGUCAAACCGUUUAGUCGCUAGACAAUAAAAUUAACUUUGCUAGCUCAAGCAAAACACCAUGGCCACAGAAGAAUGGUUUCUAUCCAACAGUCAUCAGGUGUCUGAUUUUCUUUUUCUUUUCCCUCUCUCUCACGAGUAGGGGUGGAUAUCGAGCUGGCUCGGCUCGACUCGUUAUGUUAACGAGCUAAAGAUCCAACUCGACUUGACUCGUUUGACAACUCGAGUUGGCUCGUUUAGCUCGCUAGCCAGCUCGAUAAUACCAUGUCUAGUGUCUACGGACGGAUAUAAAAAUAUGUAGCAAAAGAAAAUAUGGAGAUCUAUUUAGAAAAAAAGAAUAGAGUUUGCAACUUAAGAUUCCACACUCAACAAAUAAUAAGAUUAACUAUAGUAGAGUACAAGAUUAACUAUUUUGGAUCCGAGAUUAUUGUGAUUUGACUAAUUAAUUCAACUCGUUUGGCUCGCGAGCCAGCUCGAGCUGGCUCGUUAUCAUAACGAGUUGAAAUACAAGCUCAACUCGUUACCAAUUAUAAACGAGUCGAGUCGAGCGAGUUAACGAGCUACGAGUUUUUCGUCCAGCCUUACUCACGAGUCAUGCCACUAACACACCCAUUAGAUGUCAGAGCGUCGUCCAGAGAUGAAGAAAGGGAAAUGGAGGGAGAAGACGGCGUUGUAAGCGGCCGUAAGGGCAAAAUCGGCAGAUUGCAACGCGGGCCCCACCUGCCAGGUACGCCAAAAGCAAUAUUGACUUCUUUUGGCCAGCGUGUAGACUUAAGCGACCCUUUUUGACGACCCCGACUCGAAACGAUCUAUCAUGAAGAGCGACAAGAUAGAGCGACCCAUUUUGCCAAAUUCCAAACGCCAGCCCAGGCACUGAUCGGCGCCACCGCAGACGGCCAGGCCGAGCGCCCCCGGCCCGCGCCACUCAGCGCCGCCAAGUCUCCAAAAGGAGAGGAGGGGCAGUAGCCGCCACCCUGGUCACCUGUGCAGCAGCCCCGCUGGCGCACCCCGCCAGGCCACUGGAUGCCUCCUCUCCUCUCGUGGCGGCCGAUCCCUCCCCUAGCGUCGAUGACCACACCCUGCACGUCUCCACAAGGCCUGCCAAACGCACAGCCCCACGAAACCGCACUCAGCCGAGCUCCAGCCUCCAGCCCCUGCUCAGGCUGAAAUCGACCAACCACGAGCAACAUCAAGGCGUCAACGUCGAGGGCCGGCUCCGUCUAGCCAUGCCCAGCCCCGGCAGCCGCGCGCCUACGCCGAGCACCUCGCCGCCCUGUCAACCGCGCCAGCAUCGAGCACCUCCUCGGACGUCGCGGCGAACUCCACCCACAGAUCCACCCCAGUCGAGCUUCCCUCGCGGAACUGCCUCUGAUUAGGCUGCGUCCCGGCCAGCCACGAGCCCCCUCGAGGCGACAACUCGCACCACCACGUCAACAAAAGCCCCCCCCCCCCCCCCCCCCCCCCCCCCCCCGCCAUCCCGGCCGACUGCGCAGCCCUGCCGGCAGCGGCGCAACGGGAGAGGGGAGGGAGGGGAGAAUAUUCGACGGCUAGGGUUGCCGCCCGUGUGCAGCAGCGGAUGCAGGGGGCUGCACCAUGUGCAUCGGCUAACAAGAUAAUCUAAUAUGUUGCAACUUUAUGAGAUGGAUGUCACAAAAAAUACUAUAUUAAUGACUGAACUAUCAUUGUCGGGUAAUUUAGUGCAAUUCGUAAAGAUGACAAAAGAUUAAAUAUCUUCAUCCGACAUAUGUGCAACACGAUACCGCUCUCGUCCGCGUCCUAACCCUAGUCGUCUGAUGUAUCUCUCCCGCGCUACCCAUUAGUUGUCGGCUUGUCGUUGUUUGUCUAGCGAUUUCCCUCCAUCUCCUCUAUGGUGCGUCCACGGCCGACAGGCACCCGCAUCCACGCCCAUGCUUUAGAUCAGUUUACGUUAGUGGCUAAUCGGCCAAGUUGCCAACUACAAGGUAUCGGUUGUCUAUCGCUAGCCCACCAACACCACAGUUGGCCGUCUUACUGUCCCUCCUUUGAUCCAUUUUUAGAUCCGUCACUGCUCGUAUGGGAGAGCAACGCGGGGGCCUAAAGUAAAAUAUAGCCUAAAGUGAAAUAUAGUUGCUCUAUUCUUAUUGUAGAAGUAGAAUGUGUUGCUAUUGUAGAAGUAGAAUGUGUUGCUAAAGAAGGUGGAUGGGGUGCGUAUCAUCCAUGUGAAGGACGAGAUUGUUGUCUGGAUGGAGAACUUCAUCCUUUCCGCUUUUAUACAUCUACAAAAUCUAAAUCCUGUAAUAGGCUAAUCUUUUCUCUCUCUCUCUAAAUCUGGAGUUGCCAGUACUGUGUAUACUACCGUACUGGUACUCCUUUCUUAAAGGGAAAAGCUAACGGACGCGCGUGUGUUUGUUUGGCUGUUUGUGCUCGCCUUGUGCGCCGUCCGAUUGUUCACUGUUUGAUUUUGGGAUUCUCGCGCUCUUCACUUUCCAGUUUGUCCUGUCGCUCGUGCGUUGCCAGUGGCCAGUGCUCUGCUCUCUGCCGCCUCUUCACUUUCUCAGUGCGGCUGCCGUCGUCGUUCCCAGGGCGGCUGCCCCGCGCGCGCCCCUGCUGCCUGCUGCUGCGCGCGCCCUUCCCUCCAGUGCGUUCCCAGUGCUGCUGUGCCUGCUGCCGCGCGCGCCCUGCUGCUGCCUGCUGCCGCGCGCGCCCUCCAGUGCUGCUGCCGCGCACGCGAUGAGUUGGAGUCGCGGGCGAGGUGGAUCCGACGAGAUCCAUGGCGGAGGGUGAGGAGGCUCCGACUGGAUCUAUGGCGGGGGGCGAGGUAGCUCCGACGAGGUACAUGGCGCGAGUGGAGGCAGCUGCGAUUCCGACGAGGUCCACGUCGGAGGGCGAGGAGGCCGCGACUGGAUCUAUGGCGGGGGGCGAGUGGGCUGUUGCAGGAUCCAUGGUGGAGGGGAAGGUCCGACGGGAUCCAUGGCUGGGGGUGGUGGAGCUGGCUGCGACAGUAUCUACGGCGGAGGGCGAGGGUGUCCCGACGGGAUCCAUUUUCGCUGUCCGGCGACAGCAACCUGUUGUGAAGCAGGCGGGUCUGGAGUUCCACUGCGCGAAGGUUGUGUCCCGGCAUCUGGUGGCACUGUCGAUCCAGUGAGGGUGCUCUUCAUUUUACUUCAUCUUUCCUGUGCUCGAGUAUAUUUUCCUAGUUCUACUGUUUUUUUGGAUGUUCAGUAUGCAGUGUGUGUUCUUCUGUUUCUAUUAGCAAAGGAACAAAUUAUGCGAUUCUAGUUAAAAUUUGUCCCAGUAUAUUUGAGGAUAGCAUACGUAUUGUUGAAAUUUAUAUAUAGUUAAUGCAUGCAAUUUUGAAAUUGUAAUUUAGCAUUGAAAUGUAUGUGCGAUGUCUGUGUCUUGGCUUAGAUGAAUGAGUGUGAGAUGUCUGUGCGAACUGUGAUGUGGUUCUUUUUAUAAAUAAAGGAAAUCUAGGUUGCUGCCUGGAUAUAGCAUAGCCUCUGUCCCUUAGGAGUUUUUUUGUUUGGAGCAGGUUCCAUUAUAUCCAGGAUUUGCAUCAUUGAUAAUCUGUUUUGUGUUUAUUGUUUGUGUAAAUAAUCUAAGUUAGCUAAGUAUAGUUGUUUGGAGUUACAAAAUGUAUUUUCUUAGUAUAUUUAGUUCUUGGAAAUUGUUUAUUUAUAUUCAGUUUUUUAUUUACAAUUUUUUUUGUUAUUUUUGCAGGGCAUCAUUUCCUCUCCUAUGGUUAAGUUGAUUGAAACUUUUGCUGUUUUUUGCAAGUCUCAGGUAGUUUGUUCUUUUUUAUCUUCUUUUUUUUCUGUACAAGUUCUCAAUUGUAUAUUUUUUAUAUGCAGUUUUUUUCAUGUGAUUUUUGUUUAUUUUUUUGUUACUUAAUUUUGUUUUUUAUUUUUUAUCUCUAGAGAGCUGCUUAUAGGGAGAAGGUGUUAAUUGAAGCAGAGAAACAAUUUCUGCAUGAUUUCACUUUUUUCAAGGAAAAGUUAUUAGUUGAUUUUGGCCAAAUAGUGGAUGUCGAAUGCAUUGAUAGUACUUGCCAAGUUCUGUGUGACAAGGUCAGGCGUUGUUGUUCAAUUUGCAAGUCAAGGUGUACUGAAGCUAUCAUCGAUUCUCUGAAAAUUUUGGCUGAAGCAAUGACUAUUAAGCAUCAGAAGUUUUUGAAUUCCAACAACCUUCUGGCGAAAGUGAAAGGGAAUUAGGCUUACACCUAGUUCCUAGAUAAUUUUGGUGGUUGAAUUGCCCAACACAAAUCUUUGGACUAACUAGUUUGCCUAAGUGUAUAGAUUAUGCAGGUGUAAAAAGGUUCACACUCAGCCAAUAAAAAGACCAAGUGUUGGAUUCAACAAAAGAGCAAAGGGGCAACCGAAGGCACCCCUGGUCUGGUGCACCGGACUGUCCGGUGUGCCACCGGACAUGUCCGGUGUGCCAGGGGGACUCAGACUCAAACUCGCUACCUUCGGGAAUUUCCGGAGGCGACUCCGCUAUAAUUCACCGGACUGUCCGGUGUACACCGGACAGUGUCCGGUGCGCCAUGGGAGGUCGGCCUCAGGAACUCGCCAGCCUCGGACUUUAAUUCAAGCCGCUCCGCUAUAAUUCACCGGACUGUCCGGUGUGCACCGGACUGUCCGGUGAACCACGGAGCAACGGCUACUUCCGCGCCAACGGUCACCUGCAGGCGCAUUCAAUGCGCGCCAGUGGCGCGCAGUCGUCAGGCACGCCCAUUCUGGUGCACCGGACAAUGAACAGUUCAUGUCCGGUGUGCACCGGACACCCAGGCGGGCCCACAAGUCAGAAGCUUCAACGGUCGAAUCCAACGGCAGUGAUGACGUGGCAGGGGGCACCGGACUGUCCGGUGUGCACCGGACUGUCCGGUGCGCCAUCGAACAGAUAGGAUUCCCAACGGCCACAUUUGGUGGUUGGGGCUAUAAAUACCCCAACCACCCCACCAUUCAUUGCAUCCAAGUUUUCCACUUCCCAUCUACUACAAGAGCUCUAGCAUUCAAUACUAGACACACCAAAUAGAUCAAAUCCUCUCCAAUUCCCACACAACUCCAUAGUGACUAGAGAGAGUGAUUUGCUUGUGUUCUUUCGAGCUCUUGCACUUGGAUUGCUUUCUUUCUUCUUGUACUCUUUCAUUGUGAUCAAACAUUCACUUGUAAUCGAAGCAAGAGGCACCAAUUGUGUGGUGGCCCUUGCGGGAACUUUGUGUUCCAAGUGGUUGAGAAAAGAAAGCUCACUCGAUCCGUGGAUCGUUUGAGAGAGGGAAGGGUUGAAAGAGACCCGGCCUUUGUGGCCUCCUCAACGGGGAGUAGGUUUGCAAGAACCGAACCUCGGUAAAACAAAUCUCCGUGUCUCACUUGUUCAUUUGUUUGGGAUUUGUUUUGCGCCCUCUCUCGCGGACUCAUUUCUUUAUUACUAACGCUAACUCCGGCUUGUAGUUGUGUUUAUAUUUGUAAAUUUCAGUUUCGCCCUAUUCACCCCCCCCCUCUAGGCGACUUUCAAUUGGUAUCAGAGCCCGGUGCUUCAUUAGAGCCUAACCGCUCGAAGUGAUGUCGGGAGAACACGCCAAGAAGGAGAUAGAGACCGGCGAAAAGCCCACUACAAGCCAAGGGAGCACUUCAUCGGAAGAGUCCCGCACCAAAAGGAGGGAGAAGAAGAAGAGCUCCUCCAACAAAGGGAAGGAGAAAAAAUCUUCUUCUCACCACAAAGAGAAGAAGGAAAAAUCUUCUUCCCACAAGCCGCAUCGGAAAGGCGACAAGCACAAGAGGAUGAGGAAAGUGGUCUACUACGAGACCGACACUUCAUCAACAUCGUCCUCCGACUCCGAUGCGCCCUCCGUCACUUCUAAGCGCCAAGAGCGCAAGAAGUAUAGUAAGAUCCCCCUACGCUACCCUCGCAUUUCCAAACAUACACCUUUACUUUCCGUCCCAUUAGGCAAACCACCAACUUUUGAUGGUGAAGAUUACGCUAGGUGGAGCGACUUAAUGCGAUUUCAUCUAACCUCGCUCCACAAAAGUAUAUGGGAUGUUGUUGAGUUUGGUGCACAGGUACCGUCGGUAGGGGAUGAGGACUAUGAUGAGGAUGAGGUGGCCCAAAUCGAGCACUUCAACUCUCAAGCAACAACAAUACUCCUCGCCUCUCUAAGUAAAGAGGAGUAUAACAAAGUUCAAGGGUUGAAGAGCGCCAAGGAGAUUUGGGAUGUGCUCAAAACCGCGCACGAGGGAGACGAGCUCACCAAGAUCACCAAGAGGGAAACGAUCGAGGGGGAGCUCGGUCGGUUCCGGCUUCACAAAGGGGAGGAGCCACAACACAUGUACAACCGGCUCAAGACUUUGGUGAACCAAGUGCGCAACCUCGGGAGCAAGAAGUGGGAUGACCACGAAGUGGUAAAUGUUAUUUUAAGAUCUCUCAUUUUUCUUAAUCCCACUCAAGUUCAAUUGAUUCGUGGUAAUCCUAGAUAUACUAAAAUGACCCCCGAGGAAGUUAUCGGGCAUUUUGUAAGUUUUGAGUGCAUGAUAGAAGGCUCGAGGAAAAUCAACGAGCUUGGCGACCCAUCCGAAGCCCAACCCGUUGCAUUCAAGGCAACGGAGGAAAAGAAGGAGGUGUCUACACCAAGUAGACAACCAAUAGACGCCUCCAAGCUCGACAAUGAGGAAAUGGCGCUCGUCAUCAAGAGCUUCCGCCAAAUCCUCAAGCAAAGGAGAGGGAAAGACUACAAGUCCCGCUCCAAGAAAGUGUGCUACAAGUGUGGUAAGCCCGGUCAUUUUAUUGCUAAAUGUCCUAUAUCAAGUGACAGUGACCGAGGGGACGACAAGAAGGGAAGAAGAAAGGAGAAGAAAAGGUACUACAAGAAGAAGGGCGGCGAUGCCCAUGUUUGUCGGGAAUGGGAUUCCGACGAGAGCUCAAGCGACUCCUCCGACGACGAGGACGCCGCCAACAUCGCCGUCACCAAGGGACUUCUCUUCCCCAACGUCGGCCACAAGUGCCUCAUGGCAAAGGACGGCAAAAAGAAGAAGGUUAAAUCCAACUCCUCCACUAAAUAUGAGUCUUCUAGUGAUGAUAAUGCUAGUAGUGAGGAAGAUAAUUUGCGUACUCUUUUUGCCAACCUUAAUAUGGAACAAAAGGAGAAAUUAAAUGAACUAAUUAGUGCCAUCCAUGAGAAGGAUGAACUCUUGGACUCCCAAGAGGACUUCCUAAUCAAGGAAAAUAAAAAACAUGUUAAGGUUAAAAAUGCUUACGCUCUACAAGUUGAAAAAUGUGAAAAAUUGUCUAGUGAGCUAAGCACUUGCCAUGAGAUUAUUGACAACCUUAGGAAUGAAAAUGCUAGUUUGAAUGCUAAGGUUGAUUCACAUGUUUGUGAUGUUUCAAUUCCCAAUCUUAGAAAUGAUAAUGUUGAUUUGCUUGCUAAGAUUGAUGAAUUGAAUGUAUCUCUUGCUAGCCUUAGAUUAGAGAAUGAAAAUUUGAUUGCUAAGGCUAAAGAUUUUGAUGUUUGCAAAGUUACAAUUGCCGAUCUUAGAGAUAAGAAUGAUAUACUUCGUGCUAAGAUUGUAGAACUUAACUCUUGCAAACCAUCUACAUCUACCAUUGAGCAUGUCACUAUUUGUACUAGAUGUAGAAAUAUUGAUAUUGAUGCUAUUCAUGAUCAUAUAGCAAAACUAGAUGCUAAAAUUGCCGAGCACAACUUGGAAAAUGAAAAAUUUAAAUUUGCUCGUAGCAUGCUUUAUAAUGGGAGACGCCCAGGCAUUAAGGAUGGCAUUGGCUUCCAAAGGGGAGACAAUGUCAAAAUUAGUGCCCCUCCUAAGAGAUUGUCCAACUUUGUUAAGGGCAAGGCUCCCGUGCCUCAGGAUAACGAGGGUUACAUUUUAUACCCUGCCGGUUAUCCCGAGGACAAAAUUAGGAAAGUUCAUUCUAGGAAGUCUCACUCUGGCCCUAAUCAUGCUUUUAUGUAUAAGGGUGAGACAUCUAGUUCUAGGCAACCAACCCGUGCCAAGUUGCCUAAGAAGAAGAUUCCCAAUGCAUCAAAUGAACAUAACAUUUCAUUUAAGACUUUUGAUGCAUCAUAUGUUUUGACUAACAAAUCCGGCAAGGUCGUUGCCAAGAUUGUUGGGGGCAAACACAAGGGGUCAAAGACUUGUGUUUGGGUACCCAAAGUUCUUGUUUCUAAUGCCAAAGGACCCAAAACAGUUUGGGUACCUAAAGUCAAGAACUAAAUUUGUUUUGUAGGUUUAUGCAUCCGGGGGCUCAAGUUGGAUACUCGACAGCGGGUGCACAAACCACAUGACCGGGGAGAAAAGGAUGUUCUCCUCAUAUGAGAAAAACCAAGAUCCCCAACGAGCUAUCACAUUCGGGGAUGGAAAUCAAGGUUUGGUCAAAGGUCUUGGUAAAAUUGCUAUAUCUCCUGACCAUUCUAUUUCCAAUGUUUUUCUUGUUGAUUCAUUAGAUUACAACUUGCUUUCCGUUUCCCAAUUAUGUCAAAUGGGCUACAACUGUCUUUUUACUGAUAUAGGUGUCACUGUCUUUAGAAGAAGUGAUGAUUCAAUAGCAUUUAAGGGAGUGUUAGAGGGUCAGCUAUACUUGGUAGAUUUUGAUAGAGCUGAACUCGACACUUGUUUAAUUGCUAAGACUAACAUGGGUUGGCUCUGGCACCGCCGACUAGCCCAUGUUGGGAUGAAGAAUCUUCACAAGCUUCUAAAGGGAGAACACAUUUUAGGAUUAACAAAUGUUCAUUUUGAGAAAGACAGGAUUUGUAGCGCAUGUCAAGCAAGGAAGCAAGUUGGCACUCAUCAUCCACACAAGAACAUAAUGACGACUGACAGGCCACUGGAGCUCCUACACAUGGAUCUAUUCGGCCCGAUCGCUUACAUAAGCAUCGGCGGGAGUAAGUACUGUCUAGUUAUUGUGGAUGAUUAUUCUCGCUUCACUUGGGUAUUCUUUUUACAGGAAAAAUCUCAAACCCAAGAGACCUUAAAGGGAUUCUUGAGACGGGCUCAAAAUGAGUUCGCCUUAAGGAUCAAGAAAAUAAGAAGCGACAACGGAACGGAGUUCAAGAACUCUCAAAUUGAAGGCUUUCUUGAGGAGGAGGGCAUCAAGCAUGAGUUCUCUUCUCCCUACACACCUCAACAAAAUGGUGUAGUGGAGAGGAAGAAUCGAACUCUAUUAGACAUGGCAAGAACCAUGCUUGAUGAGUACAAAACAUCGGAUCGGUUUUGGGCCGAGGCGGUCAACACCGCUUGCUAUGCCAUCAACCGGUUAUAUCUACACCGAAUCCUCAAGAAGACAUCAUAUGAACUCCUAACCGGUAAAAAGCCCAACAUUUCAUAUUUUAGAGUUUUUGGUAGCAAAUGCUUUAUUCUUGUCAAAAGAGGAAGAAAAUCUAAAUUUGCUCCUAAAACUGUAGAAGGUUUUUUACUUGGUUAUGACUCAAACACAAGGGCAUAUAGGGUCUUUAACAAGUCCACUGGACUAGUUGAAGUCUCAUGUGACGUUGUGUUUGAUGAAACUAACGGCUCUCAAGUAGAGCAAGUUGAUCUUGAUGAAAUAGGUGAAGAACAGGCUCCAUGCAUCGCACUAAGAAACAUGUCCAUUGGGGAUGUGUGUCCUAAGGAAUCCGAAGAGCCUACAAAUGCACAAGAUCAACCAUCCUCCUCCAUACAAGCAUCUCCACCAACACAAAAUGAGGAUGAAGCUCAAGUUGAUGAAGAAGAAGGUCAAUCAAAUGAGCCACCUCAAGAUGACGGCAAUGAUCAAGGGGGAGAUACAAAUGAGGAAGACAAGGAGGAUGAAGAGCAAAGGCCGCCACACCCAAGAGUCCACCAAGCAAUCCAAAGAGAUCACCCCGUCGACACCAUCCUCGGCGACAUUCAUAAGGGGGUAACUACUCGAUCUCGUGUUGCACAUUUUUGUGAACAUUACUCGUUUGUUUCCUCUAUUGAGCCACACAAGGUAGAGGAAGCACUUCAAGAUUCGGAUUGGGUGGUGGCGAUGCAAGAGGAGCUCAACAACUUCACUAGGAAUGAGGUAUGGCAUUUAGUUCCACGUCCUAAUCAAAAUGUUGUAGGAACCAAAUGGGUCUUCCGCAACAAGCAAGACGAGCAUGGUGUGGUGACAAGGAACAAAGCUCGACUUGUGGCCAAGGGAUACUCCCAAGUCGAAGGUUUGGAUUUCGGUGAAACCUAUGCACCCGUAGCUAGGCUUGAGUCAAUUCGCAUUUUAUUAGCCUAUGCUACUUACCAUGGCUUUAAGCUUUAUCAAAUGGACGUGAAAAGUGCCUUCCUCAAUGGACCAAUCAAGGAAGAGGUCUAUGUUGAGCAACCUCCCGGCUUUGAAGACAGUAAGUAUCCUAAUCAUGUCUAUAAGCUCUCUAAGGCGCUUUAUGGGCUCAAGCAAGCCCCAAGAGCAUGGUAUGAAUGCCUUAGAGAUUUUCUUAUUGCAAAUGGAUUCAAAGUCGGAAAAGCCGAUCCUACACUCUUUACUAAAACUCUUGAAAAUGACUUGUUUGUAUGCCAAAUUUAUGUUGAUGAUAUUAUAUUUGGGUCUACUAACGAGUCCACUUGUGAAGAGUUUAGUAGGAUCAUGACACAGAAGUUUGAGAUGUCUAUGAUGGGGGAGUUGAAGUAUUUUCUAGGAUUCCAAGUAAAGCAACUCCAAGAGGGCACGUUCAUCAGCCAAACAAAGUACACUCAAGACAUUCUAACCAAGUUUGGGAUGAAGGAUGCCAAACCCAUCAAGACACCCAUGGGAACUAAUGGGCAUCUCGACCUCGACACGGGAGGUAAGUCCGUGGAUCAAAAGGUAUACCGGUCGAUGAUUGGUUCAUUGCUUUAUUUAUGUGCAUCUCGACCGGAUAUAAUGCUUUCCGUAUGCAUGUGUGCAAGAUUCCAAGCCGACCCUAAGGAAGCUCACCUUACGGCCGUAAAACGAAUCUUGAGAUAUUUGGCUUAUACUCCUAAGUUUGGGCUUUGGUAUCCCAGGGGAUCCACAUUCGAUUUAAUUGGUUAUUCGGAUGCCGAUUGGGCGGGGUGCAAAAUCAACAGGAAGAGCACAUCGGGGACUUGCCAGUUCUUGGGAAGAUCCUUGGUGUCUUGGGCUUCAAAGAAGCAAAAUUCGGUCGCUCUUUCCACCGCCGAAGCCGAGUACAUUGCCGCAGGUCAUUGUUGCGCGCAAUUGCUUUGGAUGAGGCAAACCCUGCGGGACUACGGUUACAAAUUAACCAAAGUCCCUUUGCUAUGUGACAAUGAGAGUGCAAUCAAAAUGGCCGACAAUCCCGUCGAGCAUAGCCGCACUAAACACAUAGCCAUUCGGUAUCACUUUUUGAGGGAUCACCAACAAAAGGGAGAUAUCGAGAUUUCAUACAUUAAUACUAAAGAUCAAUUAGCCGAUAUCUUUACCAAGCCUCUUGAUGAACAAUCUUUUAACAAACUUAGGCAUGAGCUCAAUAUUCUUGAUUCGCGCAAUUUCUUUUGCUAAGAUUGCACACAUUGUUCUUUUAUAUACCUUUAAUCAUGUCUCUUUUAUAUGCUAUGACUAAUGUGUUUUCAAGUCUAUUUCAAACCAAGUCAUAGGUAUAUUGAAAGGAAAUUGGAGUCUUCGGCGAAGACAAAAAGGCUUCCACUCCGUAACUCAACCUUCGCCGUCGCUACUUACCACUCUCCAUCCUUAGGGGAGAAAGCAAAAGGACUUCGUCUUUGGUAUAAUCUUAACUCAUUUGUUUAUGACCAAAGGGGAAGAAACUACUUCGAGGGCUCUAAUGAUUCCGUUUUUGGCGAUUCAUGCCAAAAAGGGGGAGAAAGGAGCCCAAAGCAAAAGGACCGCACCACCACCCACCACCUAAUUCAAAAACUUAGUGCUUUCCAAAAGUAUUUUUCAAUUGGUAUCCUAUUGUGUUCAAAAGGAAAAGAAAAUUAGGUUUUCAAAAAUGUAUAUCAAAACCCUCUUGAACACUAAGAGGUGGAUCUCCUUUAGGGGGAGUUUUGUUUAGUCAAAAGAAAAGCAUUUGAGACAGGGGGAGAAAAUUUCAAAUCUUGAAAAUGCUUUGCAAAAAUCUUAUUCAUUUACCUUUGACUAUUUGCAAAAGAUCUUCGAAAUGAAUUUACAAAAAGAAUUUGCAAAAAAAAAACAAAACAUGUGGUGCAAACGUGGUCCAAAAUACUAAAUAAGAAAGAAACAUUCCAUGCAUAUCUUGUAAGUAGUUAUAUUGGCUUAAUUCCAAGCAACCUUUACACUUACAUUAUGCAAACUAGUUCAAUUAUGCACUUCUCUAUUUGCUUUGGUUUGUGUUGGCAUCAAUCACCAAAAAGGGGGAGAUUGAAAGGGAAUUAGGCUUACACCUAGUUCCUAGAUAAUUUUGGUGGUUGAAUUGCCCAACACAAAUCUUUGGACUAACUAGUUUGCCUAAGUGUAUAGAUUAUGCAGGUGUAAAAAGGUUCACACUCAGCCAAUAAAAAGACCAAGUGUUGGAUUCAACAAAAGAGCAAAGGGGCAACCGAAGGCACCCCUGGUCUGGUGCACCGGACUGUCCGGUGUGCCACCGGACAUGUCCGGUGUGCCAGGGGGACUCAGACUCAAACUCGCUACCUUCGGGAAUUUCCGGAGGCGACUCCGCUAUAAUUCACCGGACUGUCCGGUGUACACCGGACAGUGUCCGGUGCGCCAUGGGAGGUCGGCCUCAGGAACUCGCCAGCCUCGGACUUUAAUUCAAGCCGCUCCGCUAUAAUUCACCGGACUGUCCGGUGUGCACCGGACUGUCCGGUGAACCACGGAGCAACAGCUACUUCCGCGCCAACGGUCACCUGCAGGCGCAUUCAAUGCGCGCCAGUGGCGCACAGUCGUCAGGCACGCCCAUUCUGGUGCACCGGACAAUGAACAGUUCAUGUCCGGUGUGCACCGGACACCCAGGCGGGCCCACAAGUCAGAAGCUUCAACGGUCGAAUCCAACGGCAGUGAUGACGUGGCAGGGGGCACCGGACUGUCCGGUGUGCACCGGACUGUCCGGUGCGCCAUCGAACAGAUAGGAUUCCCAACGGCCACAUUUGGUGGUUGGGGCUAUAAAUACCCCAACCACCCCACCAUUCAUUGCAUCCAAGUUUUCCACUUCCCAUCUACUACAAGAGCUCUAGCAUUCAAUACUAGACACACCAAAUAGAUCAAAUCCUCUCCAAUUCCCACACAACUCCAUAGUGACUAGAGAGAGUGAUUUGCUUGUGUUCUUUCGAGCUCUUGCACUUGGAUUGCUUUCUUUCUUCUUGUACUCUUUCAUUGUGAUCAAACAUUCACUUGUAAUCGAAGCAAGAGGCACCAAUUGUGUGGUGGCCCUUGCGGGAACUUUGUGUUCCAAGUGGUUGAGAAAAGAAAGCUCACUCGAUCCGUGGAUCGUUUGAGAGAGGGAAGGGUUGAAAGAGACCCGGCCUUUGUGGCCUCCUCAACGGGGAGUAGGUUUGCAAGAACCGAACCUCGGUAAAACAAAUCUCCGUGUCUCACUUGUUCAUUUGUUUGGGAUUUGUUUUGCGCCCUCUCUCGCGGACUCAUUUCUUUAUUACUAACGCUAACUCCGGCUUGUAGUUGUGUUUAUAUUUGUAAAUUUCAGUUUCGCCCUAUUCACCCCCCCCCCUCUAGGCGACUUUCAGAAAGAUAUGGAUAUUAAGUCAGAUGAGAAAGCUACCAAAUUUGAUACCAAUGUGCAGCCAGUUGAUGUUAAGUCGAAUGAGAAAGGGGCUGGUGUGGGCAUUGUUGAGGCUUCUCAUGGAAAAGCUCAUGUGGUUAUUACAAAUCCCCUGAUAACAGUGCCCAUACAGUUGGAGACACCAAUCGUUAAUAGGCUGGAUGGAAAUAAUGGAACAUCUUUGAAUCCACCAGCGGGUUAGUGCUUUUUAAAGUCUGUUUUAAUGUUUUUUGUUUUCCUUUUUUGCAUUUUGUACUUCAUUGUGUUUGCUCAAUGCAUUUUUUAUUCUAUGUGCUACCUAUGUGGGCAUGUCUGGUGUCGGCGUUUCGAGACCGGGGGUCCCUGGGCCGACGAGUGAAUGUCGCCGCGUGCCCCAGCCCAGAUGGGUCGAGCGCGAGGGCGAGCGCGAAGGGGGGAGAGCGAGGCGGCCGGAGACCGGCGUGAGAGAGGUGGGAAUCCCGCGGCCUUCGUGUUCGUCCCGCGCCCAGGUCGGGUGCGCUUGCAGUAGGGGGUUACAAGCGUCCACGCGGGAGAGGGAGCGAGCGGCCCCAAGCGAGCGCAUGUCUCGUCCUCGUCCCCGCGCGGCCAACCCUCUCUAAGAGGGCCCUGGUCCUUCCUUUUAUAGGCAUAAGGAGAGGAUCCAGGUGUACAAUGGGGGUGUAGCAGAGUGCUACGUGUCUAGCGGAGGAGAGCUGAGAGCACCUAGAGGGGGGGGGGGUGAAUAGGUGAUCCUGUAAAAACUUCAAACUUAAGCCACAAAAACUUGUUAAGUGUUAGCACGAUUAUUGCCAAGUGGCUAAGGUGAAGUCUCAACAGUCUCAACAAAACACAGUACCACAAGAGAAUCAAGCACAGAGUGACACAGUGGUUUUAUCCCGUGGUUCGGCCAAGACCAACGCUUGCCUACUCCACGUUGUGGCGUCCCAACGGACGAGGGUUGCAAUCAACCCCUCUCAAGCGGUCCAAAGACCCACUUGAAUACCACGGUGUUUUGUUUUCCUUUCACUAUCCCGUUUGCAAGGAAUCUCCACAAAUUGGAGUCUCUUGCCCUUACAAGUAUAUGAUCACAAAUGAAACACAGAGUAAGGGAGGGAAGCAACACACACAAAUCCACAGCAAAAGCGCACACACACGGCCAAGAAUCGAGCUCACAAGACUAUCUCAGAGUUCUCACUUAGAACAGAGCUCGAAUCACUUAGAAACACAAACGAAUGCGCAGAGACUUAGUGUGGAUGAUCAAGAAUGCUCAAAGGUUGCUUGUGUAUCUCCUCCAUGCGCCUAGGGGCUCCUUUUAUAGCCCCAAGGCAGCUAGGAGCCGUUGAGAGCAAAUCCGGAAGGCCAUCCUUGCCUUCUGUCGUCGGGGGCACCGGACAGUCCGGUGCACACCGGACACUGUCCGGUGCCCGAUUUGUUUCCUUAAACGGCGAAGACGACCGUUGCAGACCGUUGGCAGAUCUGGCGCUGUUGGCGCACCGGACAUGUCCGGUGCACACCGGACAGUCCGGUGCCGUCUUCCGACCGUUGGCUCGGCCACGUGUCCCGCGCGGAUUGCGCGGCCGACCGUUGGCCCUGGCCGACCGUUGGCUCACCGGACAGUCCGGUGCACACCGGACAGUCCGGUGAAUUUUAGCCGUACGCCGCCGGCCAAUUUCCCGAGAGCGGCCAGUUCGAGUCGCGCCAGCCUGGCGCACCGGACACUGUCCGGUGCACACCGGACAGUCCGGUGCUCCAGACCGAGCUGGGUCUUGGCAGCACACAGCCAAGUCCCUUCUCCUUUUCUCUAUUCUUCUUCUUUCUGUUUCUAACACUUAGACAAAUAUAUUAGUACUUAAAACCAAUGUACUAAGGCUUAGAAACAUACCUUUACUUCAUGAUUUUCACCUUGUUCAUCCAUGUACAUAAAUUCCCAAUUAAGCACAUGUGUUGGCACUCAAUCACCAAAAUACAUAGAAAUGGCCCAAGGGCACAUUUCCCUUUCAAUCUCCCCCUUUUUGGUGAUUUAUGCCAACACAACAUAAAGCAACUAGAACAAGUGCAAACUCACUUCAAAUAAAAUAGAUUUAAGUUUUAUUCAAUUUUGGCAUAUAUGGAUCAUCCUUUGCCACCACUUGGUUUGUUUUUGCAAAUCAAACUCAAAUCUCUAUCUCUAAGUCAAACACACAUGUUGAAGUAUAAAGAGAGUCAUUCCAAAAGAGAUUGAUCAAAGAUUUCAAAAACUCCCCCUAUUUCCCAUAAUCAACACUUCUCCCCACAAGAAGCCAACUUUUGACAAUAGAGACAAUAAGAGACAAUAAAAGCUUUUGACAAAACAAAAACUCUAUUCUACUAUUUUCAAAAUCUCUCAAGUGGUAGCUGAUCCAUUUAUCACUUUGGCCUUUAUUUUCUCCCCCUUUGGCAUCAAGCACCAAAACGGGAUCAAUCUUGGCCCGUUAACCCCAUUGCCUCACCAAAGUCUUCAAUUAAGAGCAAAUGGCAAUAAGAUUUCAUGAGAUGAACUUGGAAUUAGUUACCCUCUCAUCGGAGUGCAGUGGAAGUCUUUCAUGGUCCAAGUUCACCUUUUCCCUUUCAAUCCUCCUUCGAGACUAAAUUAUCAAACUCAAGCACAAGGUUAGUCUCAAAGGGUCAAGUUGUAACACAUCUCCCCCUAAACAUGUGCAUCACUUUGCAACGGACUUGUGAGGUCCAGAGAGUGUUGGUACAACUUGAGCACCACAAUAAGCAACAAAAUGCAGAAUGAACCUGAUCAAAUGCAUAAACACAUGUAUGCUACAAUUCAAUCCAAGUUCCGCGAAUCUAAGACAUUUAGCUCACUACGCAGCCUGCAAAAGGUCUUCUCAUCUAGAGGCUUGGUAAAGAUAUCGGCUAGCUGGUUCUCGGUGCUAACAUGAAACACUUCGAUAUCUCCCUUUUGCUGGUGGUCUCUCAAAAAGUGAUGCCGGAUGUCUAUGUGCUUUGUGCGGCUGUGCUCAACAGGAUUCUCCGCCAUGCGGAUAGCACUCUCAUUGUCACAUAGGAGUGGGACUUUGCUCAGAUUGUAGCCAAAGUCCCUGAGGGUUUGCCUCAUCCAGAGUAGUUGCGCGCAACACUGUCCUGCGGCAACAUACUCGGCCUCAGCGGUGGAUAGGGCAACGGAAGUUUGUUUCUUAGAGUUCCAUGACACCAGGGACCUUCCUAAGAAUUGGCACGUCCCCGAUGUACUCUUCCUAUCGACCUUACAUCCAGCAUAGUCGGAGUCUGAGUAUCCAACUAAGUCAAAGGUAGACCCCUUUGGAUACCAGAGCCCGAAGCAAGGCAUAGCAACCAAAUAUCUAAGAAUUCGCUUCACCGCCACUAAGUGACACUCCUUAGGAUCGGAUUGAAAUCUAGCACACAUGCAUACGCUAAGCAUAAUAUCCGGUCUACUAGCACAUAAGUAAAGCAAAGAACCUAUCAUUGACCGGUAUGCUUUUUGAUCAACGGACUUACCUCCUUUGUUGAGGUCGGUGUGUCCGUCGGUCCCCAUCGGAGUCUUUGCGGGCUUGGCGUCCUUCAUCCCAAACCGCUUUAGCAGAUCUUGCGUGUACUUCGUUUGGGAGAUGAAGGUGCCGUCCUUGAGUUGCUUCACUUGGAACCCAAGGAAGUAGUUCAACUCGCCCAUCAUCGACAUCUCGAAUUUCUGCGUCAUCACCCUGCUAAACUCUUCACAAGACUUUUGGUUAGUAGAACCAAAUAUUAUGUCAUCGACAUAAAUUUGGCACACAAACAAAUCACCAUUACAAGUCUUAGUAAAAAGAGUUGGAUCGGCUUUCCCAACCUUGAAAGCAUUAGCAAUUAAGAAAUCUCUAAGGCAUUCAUACCAUGCUCUUGGGGCUUGCUUAAGUCCAUAGAGCGCCUUAGAGAGCUUACACACAUGGUCGGGGUACCGUUCAUCCUCGAAGCCAGGGGGUUGCUCCACGUACACCUCCUCCUUGAUUGGCCCGUUGAGGAAGGCGCUCUUCACAUCCAUUUGAAACAACCUGAAAGAAUGGUGAGCGGCAUAUGCUAGCAAGAUACGAAUUGAUUCUAGCCUAGCCACAGGAGCAAAAGUCUCCUCGAAAUCCAAACCUGCGACUUGGGCAUAACCUUUUGCCACAAGUCGAGCCUUGUUCCUCGUCACCACCCCGUGCUCGUCCUGUUUGUUGCGGAACACCCACUUGGUUCCCACAACAUUUUGCUUCGGACGAGGCACCAGUGUCCAAACUUCAUUGCGCUUGAAGUUGUUUAACUCCUCUUGCAUGGCCAACACCCAGUCCGGAUCUAGCAAGGCCUCUUCUACCCUGAAAGGCUCAAUAGAAGAGACAAAGGAGUAAUGCUCACAAAAAUUAACUAAUCGAGAUCGAGUAGUUACUCCCUUGCUAAUGUCACCCAGAAUUUGGUCGACGGGAUGAUCCCUUUGAAUCAUCGCUCGAACUUGGGUUGGAGGUGCCGGUUGCACUUCUUCCUCCAUCACUUGAUUAUCUUGUGCUCCCCCUUGAUCAAGCGCCUCCACUUGAGGUACCUGUUCGUCAUCUUUGGUUGGGGGAUGCACCAUAGUUGAGGAAGAAGGUUGAUCUCGUUCAUCUUGUUCCUGUGGCCGUACUUCUCCAAUCGCCAUGGUCCGUAUAGCGGCCGUCGGAACAUCUUCUUCAUCUACAUCAUCACAAUCAACAACUUGCUCUCUUGGAGAGCCAUUAGUCUCAUCAAAUACAACGUCGCUAGAGACUUCAACCAAACCCGAUGAUUUGUUGAAGACUCUAUACGCCUUUGUAUUUGAGUCAUAACCUAAUAAAAACCCUUCUACAGCUUUGGGAGCAAACUUAGAAUUUCUACCCUUCUUUACUAGAAUGUAGCAUUUACUCCCAAAUACACGAAAGUACGAUACAUUGGGUUUGUUACCGGUUAGCAGCUCAUACGACGUCUUCUUGAGGAGGCGAUGAAGGUAGACCCUGUUGAUGGCGUGGCACGCCGUGUUCACGGCUUCCGUCCAAAAGCACUCGGGGGUCUUGAACUCUCCUAGCAUCGUCCUCGCCAUGUCGAUGAGCGUCCUGUUCUUCCUCUCUACCACACCAUUUUGCUGUGGUGUGUAGGGAGCGGAGAACUCGUGUUUGAUCCCUUCCUCUUCAAGGAACUCCUCAACUUGAAGGUUCUUGAACUCGGACCCGUUGUCGCUUCUUAUCUUUUUCACUUUGAGCUCAAACUCAUUUUGAGCUCUCCUGAGGAAGCGUUUGAGGGUCCCUUGGGUUUAGACUUAUCCUGCAAAAAGAACACCCAAGUGAAGCGGGAAAAAUCAUCAACAAUAACUAAACCAUACUUACUUCCCCCUAUGCUUAGAUAGGCGACGGGUCCGAAGAGAUCCAUAUGCAGCAGCUCCAGGGGUCUUGAAGUGGUCAUCACAUUCUUGCUGUGAUGCGCUCCUCCCACCUGUUUCCCUGCUUGACAAGCUGCACAAGGUCUAUCUUUUUCGAAAUGAACAUUGGUUAGACCUAUCACAUGUUCUCCCUUUAGAAGCUUGUGGAGGUUCUUCAUCCCCACAUGUGCUAAGCGGCGAUGCCACAGCCAGCCCAUGCAAGUCUUAGCCAUUAAGCAUGCAUCUAGACCGGCCUCUUCUUUUGCAAAAUCAACUAAAUAAAGUUUGCCGUCUAAUACACCCUUAAAAGCUAGUGAACCAUCACUUCUUCUAAAGACAGACACAUCUAUAUUUGUAAACAAACAAUUAUAUCCCAUUUGACAUAAUUGACUGACAGAUAGCAAAUUAUAUCCAAGACUCUCCACUAAGAAUACAUUUGAUAUAGAAUGCUCAUUUGAAAUUGCAAUUUUACCUAGCCCUUUUACCUUGCCUUGAUUCCCAUCACCGAAUAUAAUUGAAUCUUGGGAAUCCUUAUUUUUGACGUAGGAGGUGAACAUCUUCUUCUCCCCCGUCAUAUGGUUUGUGCAUCCGCUGUCAAUAAUCCAGCUUGAACCCCCGGAUGCAUAAACCUGCAAGGCAAAUUUAGGCUUGGGUCUUAGGUACCCAACUCAUGUUGGGUCCUACAAGGUUAGUGCAAAUAUCCUUAGGGACCCAAAUGCAAGUUUUGUCUCCCUUGCAUUUUGCCCCUAACUUCCUAGCAACAAUUUUCUUAUCCUUUCUACAAAUAGCAAAGGAAGCAUUUAAAGCAUAAUAAAUUGUGGAAGGUUCAUUUGCUAUUUUCCUAGGAGCAUGAAUAACAUUCCUUCUAGGCACAUGAUGAAUAGCAUUUCUUUUAGGAACAACAUUUCUCCUAGUAACAUUUCUAUCAUACACAUAAGAGGAACUAGGAGCAAACAUGGUAUGAGAAUCAUAAACAUAUGAAUCAUAAGCAUCAUGACUUACAUUUCUAGUUUGUCUUCUAUCAUGAUACAAAAAUGCAUGGUUCCUUUUAGCACUAGUAGCCAUAGGGGCCUUCCCUUUCUCCUUGGCGGGAAUGGGGGCCUUAUGGCUUGUUAAGUUCUUAGCUUCUCUCUUGAAGCCAAGUCCAUCCUUAAUUGAGGGGUGUCUACCAAUUGUGUAGGCAUCCCUUGCAAAUUUUAGCUUAUCGAAAUCAUUCUUGCUAGUCUUAAGUUGAGCAUUAAGACUAGCCAGUUCAUCAUUAAGCUUGGAAAUUGAAACUAGGUGUUCACUACAAGCAUUAAUGUCAAAGUCUUUACACCUAGUACAAAUUUCAACAUGUUCUACACAAAAAUUGGAUUUGUUUGCUACUUCUAAUUUAGCAUUUAAAUCAUUGUUGACACCUUUCAAAGUAGAAAUGGUUUCAUGACAAGUAGAUAGUUCAAAAGAAAGCAUUUCAUUUCUCUUAACUUCUAAAGCAUAGGAUUUUUGUGCCUCAACAAAUUUAUCAUGCUCUUCAUACAACAAAUCCUCUUGCUUUUCUAAAAGUAUAUUCUUUUCAUUCAAGGCAUCAAUUAAUUCAUUAAUUUUGUCUAUCUUAGAUCUAUCUAAGCCCUUGAACAAACAUGAAUAAUCUACUUCAUCCUCAUCACUAGAUUCGUCCUCACUUGAAGAAACAUAGGUAGAGUUGCGAGUACAUACCUUCUUCUCCCUUGCCAUAAGGCAUGUGUGACGCUCGUUGGGGAAGAGGGUUGAUUUGUUGAAGGCGGUGGCGGCGAGUCCUUCAUUGUCGGAGUCGGACGAGGAGCAAUCCGAGUCCCACUCCUUGCCUAGAUGCGCCUCGCCCUUUGCCUUCUUGUAAUGCUUCUUCUUUUCCCUCUUGUUUCCCUUUUCCUGGUCACUAUCAUUAUCGGGACAGUUAGCAAUAAAAUGACCAAGCUUACCGCAUUUGAAGCAUGAGCGCUUCCCCUUGGUCUUGGUCUUGCUUGGCUGCCCCUUGCGACCAUUUAGCGCCGUCUUGAAUCUCUUGAUGAUGAGAGCCAUCUCUUCAUCGUUGAGUCCGGCCGCCUCAAUUUGUGCCACCUUGCUAGGUAGCGCCUCCUUGCUUCGUGUUGCCUUGAGAGCGAGAGGUUGCGGCUCGUUGAUCGGACCAUUCAAGGCGUCGUCCACAUAUCUCGCCUCCUUGAUCAUCAUUCGCCCGCUAACAAAUAUCCCAAGAACUUCUUCGGGCGACAUCUUGGUGUACCUGGGAUUUUCACGUAUAUUGUUCACCAAGUGAGGAUCAAGAACGGUAAAUGACCUUAGCAUUAGGCGGACGACGUCGUGGUCCGUCCAUCGCGUGCUCCCGUAGCUUCUUAUCUUGUUGAUAAGAGUCUUGAGCCGAUUGUAUGUUUGCGUUGGCUCCUCGCCCCUUAUCAUUGCGAACCGUCCAAGCUCGCCCUCCACCAACUCCAUCUUGGUGAGUAAGGUGACGUCGUUCCCCUCAUGAGAAAUUUUGAGGGUGUCCCAGAUUUGCUUGGCGUUAUCCAAGCCGCUCACCUUAUGGUAUUCAUUCCUGCACAAGGAAGCUAGAAGAACAGUAGUAGCUUGUGCAUUCUUAUGAAUUUGUUCAUUAAUGAACAUGGGACUAUCCGAACUAUCAAAAUGCAUUCCACUCUCUACAAUCUCCCAUAUACUAGGAUGGAGAGAGAAUAGGUGACUACGCAUUUUGUGGCUCCAAAAUCCGUAGUCCUCUCCAUCAAAGUGUGGGGGCUUGCCGAGUGGAAUGGAGAGCAAAUGAGAAUGUGAACUUUGCGGAAUACGAGAGUAAUCAAAAGAAAAGUUCGAAUUAACCGGUUUUCUUCUCUCGUAGUCGUUGUGGUCCUCGUCCUUGUGGGAAGAAGUAGACUCGUCGCUGUCGUAGUAGAUGAUCUCCUUGAUGCGCCUGGUCUUCUUCUUCUUCCCUUCCUUCCGUCUUUGGCCCGAGCCGGAGUCGGUAGGCUUAUCGUCCUUCGGCUCGUUGACGAAGGAUUCCUUCUCUUUGUCGUUGAUCACUAUACCCUUCCCCUUAGGAUCCAUCUCUUCGGGCGGUUAGUCCCUUUGUGAAGAGAACGGCUCUGAUACCAAUUGAGAGCACCUAGAGGGGGGGGGGGUGAAUAGGUGAUCCUGUAAAAACUUCAAACUUAAGCCACAAAAACUUGUUAAGUGUUAGCACGAUUAUUGCCAAGUGGCUAAGGUGAAGUCUCAACAGUCUCAACAAAACACAGUACCACAAGAGAAUCAAGCACAGAGUGACACAGUGGUUUUAUCCCGUGGUUCGGCCAAGACCAACGCUUGCCUACUCCACGUUGUGGCGUCCCAACGGACGAGGGUUGCAAUCAACCCCUCUCAAGCGGUCCAAAGACCCACUUGAAUACCACGGUGUUUUGUUUUCCUUUCACUAUCCCGUUUGCAAGGAAUCUCCACAAAUUGGAGUCUCUUGCCCUUACAAGUAUAUGAUCACAAAUGAAACACAGAGUAAGGGAGGGAAGCAACACACACAAAUCCACAGCAAAAGCGCACACACACGGCCAAGAAUCGAGCUCACAAGACUAUCUCAGAGUUCUCACUUAGAACAGAGCUCGAAUCACUUAGAAACACAAACGAAUGCGCAGAGACUUAGUGUGGAUGAUCAAGAAUGCUCAAAGGUUGCUUGUGUAUCUCCUCCAUGCGCCUAGGGGCUCCUUUUAUAGCCCCAAGGCAGCUAGGAGCCGUUGAGAGCAAAUCCGGAAGGCCAUCCUUGCCUUCUGUCGUCGGGGGCACCGGACAGUCCGGUGCACACCGGACACUGUCCGGUGCCCGAUUUGUUUCCUUAAACGGCGAAGACGACCGUUGCAGACCGUUGGCAGAUCUGGCGCUGUUGGCGCACCGGACAUGUCCGGUGCACACCGGACAGUCCGGUGCCGUCUUCCGACCGUUGGCUCGGCCACGUGUCCCGCGCGGAUUGCGCGGCCGACCGUUGGCCCUGGCCGACCGUUGGCUCACCGGACAGUCCGGUGCACACCGGACAGUCCGGUGAAUUUUAGCCGUACGCCGCCGGCCAAUUUCCCGAGAGCGGCCAGUUCGAGUCGCGCCAGCCUGGCGCACCGGACACUGUCCGGUGCACACCGGACAGUCCGGUGCUCCAGACCGAGCUGGGUCUUGGCAGCACACAGCCAAGUCCCUUCUCCUUUUCUCUAUUCUUCUUCUUUCUGUUUCUAACACUUAGACAAAUAUAUUAGUACUUAAAACCAAUGUACUAAGGCUUAGAAACAUACCUUUACUUCAUGAUUUUCACCUUGUUCAUCCAUGUACAUAAAUUCCCAAUUAAGCACAUGUGUUGGCACUCAAUCACCAAAAUACAUAGAAAUGGCCCAAGGGCACAUUUCCCUUUCAAGAGCUAGCGCCCUAAGUACAUGCCGUUGUGGCAGCUGGAGAGAUUUUGGCACCCAGCUGGUGUGAUGUCGUGGCCGUCGGAGGAGCGAUGGAGCCUGGCGGAGGGACAGCUGUCGGAGCAGUUGAGUCCUUGCUGACGUCCUCUUGCUUCCGUAAGGGGGCUGAGUGCCGCCGUCGUCACAGAGUACGUGGGGCGCCAUCAUUGCCUAUCUGGCGGAGCGAGCCAGAUGGGACACCGGUCUUGUUUCCUGCGGCCCGAGUUAGCUCGGGGUAGGGCGAUGAUGGCGCCUCCUGUUGAUGUGGCUGGUCUGCGCCCUAGGUUGGGCGAUGUGGAAGCUCCUCCGAAGCCGAGGUCGAGUCUGUCUUCCGUGGCCGAGGUCGAGUCCGAGCCCCUGGGUCGGGCGAGGCGGAGGCCGUCGGCUGAGGCCAGGGCGGAGUCCGAGCCCUGGGGUCGGGCGAAGCGGAGUUCGUCAUCUUCUGGGGCUGAGCCCGAGUCCGAGCUCUGGGUCGGGCGGAGCGGAGUUCGUCGUCUUCUGGGGCUGAGCCCGAGUCCGAGCCCUGGGUCGGGCGGAGCAGAGUUCGCCGUCUUCCGGGACUUAGCCCGAGUCCGAGCCCUGGGUCGGGCGGAGCGGAGUUCGCCGUCUUCCGGGACUUAGCCCGAGUCCGAGCCCUUGGUCGGGCGGAUCAUCUUUUUUCUCUGCUAUGAAACUGUCAAAAUUCAAAUAAUUGUAGACCUUAUCAUAUUUUCUAAUUGCAGGCAAGAUUUUUCCAUGUUGUUGUUGUUUUAUGUUUUGUCUUGUGUUUUCUGUUUUGUCAUUUUUUUUGGGUUAUAAGAUGUUUCUUUGUAGUUUUUUGUUUUCUAUUAUGCGGCUACCAUGUUAUUGUGAUGUAAUUUAUUGUUAGAUUUUUCCAUGUUUUUUGUUUUCUUUUGCUCUUGAUGUUUUGGUGUUGCUUACUUUCAUGUUUUUUGUAUUUUUUUAUGUAUUAUGUUGUAAUGUAAAGUAUUGUAUGGUACUAUGCUUUUUUCCAUGUAUGAUUUUGUUUUAGUUUAUUUUUCUAGGUUCUUAAGGAAUCAAGUGACGAGGAAAGGGAGAAAGCUGAAGAGAUGAUGAAGUACUAGGCAUCACUUCCCCUGCUCCUUUGAUUUUGGUUCGCAUCAUUUGUAAUGUCUAUCGUGAUUUUUGACUUUAUGAAGUUGUUUUAGUUUUUUUCAAUGUUAUAUAUUUUUUUAUUUUUGUCUUUGCUAGGUGGAGAAAAGCCUAGGGAUCAUGAAGCUGAAAAAGUUGAAGUACCAAGUAUCCACUUCCCUUGCAAUGUACGUUAUUUUCAUGUGAUGUAUGAUCUGUUUUGUGAGUUUUUGCUUCAUCAUUUUUUUCUAGAUUUGUGUCUAAGUAGCAAAUUUUUCAAAAGUGUUUGGCCUCAUGCAGGCAACUACUGUUAUCUGAGCACAUAACAGUGUUUUUUGUGUUAGAGGUCAUUUAUGUUGUUCUACAUCUAUUUUUCACAAGACAACAUGUUAAAUAUUAACACAACAACUUGUAUUGUUUUUUUGUAUAUUAGUUUUUUUUCUCUAUUUUUAGAGAAAAAAACUACGUGUUUAUUAUGACCAUUAGAUCUUGAUCUAGUGGAUAUGAGAUGUGUGUGUUUUGUGUUUGCAAAACACACAGAUUUUCCUUUAAAAGAAAUCUGCGUGUUUUUUCAGCUAAAAACACACGUGUGUUUUUUGGGCAAAAAUUGCCCAUGUGCUAUAUAGACAGCCCCUUCUUAAAUUAUUUAAGGUGCUUCCUUUGUAAAAAAAAACCCGAAGAAACCUUAGCAGCAUUCGGUCGUAUAGCUGCCAUUUCACUGUUUCACAAAACAACAUUCAUAAUUUACAUAUAUAAUUAUAUAUAGCUCAUACAAGGUGGUCUUCUACUACAACUAUUACAUUACUUGCUACAGCACAUGACAACCAUUGACCUCUGAACCUGCACAGCUAGGGGAAAAUUACAACACUCGAGAUGAAAAUGGAAACACUAGUCCCGAACUAUACAAUGGCAGACAGGAACCCACAGUCGCCUCCAUUUGUGGAAGGCUGCUUCAGUUCCAAUCCGCCUCUCAUAAGUAGCAGCAGAGAACCAGAAUGGUCUUCCUGCAAAACAUCAGUACUGCACUGCUGUACUGUACUAGUCAUAUGUGUUCGAGUAGCAGCAAAAAUUAUCCACAGAGUAGAGGUGGGUGGCAAGGGCCCAGAAUUCUACAGGCACAGCCUUGUCAGCUCUCUAUCUGCCUCCUCGCCAGGUGCCACCGGCUGCAGCACCUUGCUCCGAGCUGUGCACUUCUUGUACGGUACAAAACCUCGACGGCAGGCUGGAAUUGCGCCCGCGCAUUUCCUUGAACCUGGAACGGGUACAGCCACUUUGUCUUCACCUCUGUUUACUUUCGUAGAUUCUGCAGGAUCUGAAUUCUGAGCUGUUCCAGGCACGCUGCUGGAGGUUUCGAUCGACUCCGUCCAUGGCCGGCUCCGCUGCUUGUUUGAGGUAACUGUCUGUGCGUCCAACGCUGUGUAGGAUAUGCUUCCGUUACCGUAGUUUAGGAACUGGCAACCAGGAUGCAUAGAGAACACCUCUCCCCGAGGGAGAUAGUACAGAAACUGCUGUGUACUACCGACCAGCCACGGGCACCAUGUCUCCGCUUCUUCUGCGGCAUGGGAAGACAGCUUCCCAGUUCCACUGGUUGGUGUCUCGGCUGAAGCAUCAUCCAGUUCCAUGUCCGCCGCGUGUUGUAGGCUCCCAGUAUUGGAGCUUGGCUGCUGGUCUAAAUUACUAACCACAACCCUCUUGCCAAAUAGCCUAAGAACCGGACCUUCGGCUUCGGGUAUCUCACAGGCCGCGUCGUUGGAAUCCUGCAGCAUGUUUAAGGCGUCUGUUAGAACUCAGAGUUUAGGUGUUACAAACUGUGGCAUUAGAUGCUGUUUUAUCAAAGGAAAUGAAUUUUUUUCAGUUCCAUGCCACCUAGAAUUAUUUAGAAUUGAAGAACAUAUGCUUUUCAGGUAAGAAUGAAUGUUCAGUACCGUGGAGAGUGCCACUUGCACACUUGACUCCCCGACUGACGUGUUUGGUGUGAGGCAUUUGUCCUCCAUGUGAACGGAGGAAGCCGGUGAUCCACUGCCUUCAGCUGGCAGGGCCUCAGAGCACAUCUGUGCUGUGGUCAACACAGAUUUUGGGGAGCAGUUCUCCUGCUCAGACAGGGACUGCGCCUGCAACUGGGGCUUCCGAAGCUGCUUGAUUGCAGCAGAGGCAUCCUUGCCUACUGAAUUACCCAGCUUGCGCGGGUACGGGUGCGUCGGCCUCCUCUUCGGCCUCGGCGGCGGAAUCUGAAGUUGCGGUGGAGCACCUACGCUGUUGUUGCUGUUGUCCCCAGAGGAUUCUCGGAUGACCUGCAGCAUGCAAAGCAAAAAGGCAAUCAGAAGCACGUCUUCGGUGGCACGGCAUGGAGAGCACCUGCUGUCCAUGGUUGAGCUGACUUACAUCACCUUGCAAGCAACACAAUCCAUGGAAUUUCAGGCAGAAGGGGGUUUUGAUGUGUUUUUUUUUUUCGUUCUGUGCGAAAGGCAGGCAACGAGACCUUGGAGAAGAACUUCUGGGCGUGGCUCCUGAUCUGCACGGCAGUCUUGCUGCCUAUGUGCUCUGCAGAUCGUACCGGUUGUCAGCUAGGUUCCGUGCAGUUCUGGUUACAAAGCUUGUAUUGUAUAUGACCAUAAACGACAGAGGCACUCACCUUGUAUACGGCGCCAGGCACGGCCGUGCUGCUGCAGGGCCUCCAAGAAGAGCUUGUGCUCGUCCUCGGUCCAUUUCUCCCUCUGCUUGGAUAUCGUGUAUGGCUUGCGUGCCUGAACGGCAUGUGCCAAAAGUGCGACCUUGGUUAGAGGAAACAUCUCCAGCUUCACUAUAUUUGCGAUUCGGCAACUAAGAUGCUCUGCGGAUCGCAAGAUAGUUAGUUGGUGCAGCAGAGCCGCGCUGUACCUUAGGGGCCCGUGCUCCUCCUGGCAAGUCCAUGUCGCCGGAGCUCAGGGUGUUCUUCAGAUGAUCCAUGAAGUCUCUGUGGCCGACGUGAUCUGCAGCCGGCCUUUGAUUGCUCCUCGCCUUCAGAAACCGGGAGGAAUUCAGGAUUUUCUCAGAGGAAGAGGAAGAGGAAAAAAACAGCGGCCUUGGGAACAAGAGCAAAUAUAUAUGCCUGGGAAGAAACACAGUUCCAAAAGGAUCCAUCUCCCGGAACUCACCAAAACGAUCGGGAAGAAUGAGGAGAAAUGAAUAAAGUAAUUAGACGAGUUAGUUACCUGGAAACGAGCCAUCUCAGGAUUUCUGAACCAGCAGAACCACAGCCACCGAGUCUGAUAGCGGCUCUUCACCACGAGCACGAAUCAAGCAGCAGCAGCAGCAGGAGGAGGCGAGAGCGUGCGCCACCGAGACGAAGCCACCAGCUCCUGAACACCCUUGCGAGUGCUGCCGGUUUCGCAGGGGAGAAGAGAAGAGAGGAGAGGAGAGGAGGGAGGCAAGGGGCGAAAUGGAAGGAAAGGCUGUAUGUAUGGUGCAGCGGUUGGGAGAGGGAGGGCGGAGAAGAAAAGGGGCGGCGAGGGCAGGGCGCCACGUCGGACGGGAUUUUUCCGCUGGAGGAGCUUUUCCGUGCGCGCUUUUCCGUCCGCCCUCACGCCGCCACCGGGACCGGAUGAAAUAAUCUAUCCGUCUUUACCGGCAACGGCGGGGGCCCGGAGCGGAGGACGACUGGGCGCCGCUCGAUUCUUGUGGCCGUCGCUCCUCCGCGGGUCGGGUUCCCUCGCCUCGCCUCGCCUCCAGCUGCUCACCUCAAUUAUGCUGGGGGCUGCCGCUCCUGUCUGGGCGCGAGUAAAACCAUGGGCUGUCGUGGGGUCGCACGACAGGGUGGGGGGUGUUCCUAUCUGUCCGGCCCGGCGAGCCGGCUUGCCUUCCCGUCGUCGUCGUCGCCUUUGGUGUGCCGGCCCUGCGGUUGCUCGUGGAUAUGGUGCCGUCGUGUCGAGACUAGAGACGCGGCUAGCAUGUUAGAUCGACGAUAAAGCUCGGCAAAAGCAAGGGCCAAACUGCCCCAGUUUUUUGAGGAAUUAUUUGUUCGUAUAGAUUAUAUAAUAUACAUACACGCUUUAAAUGUCUAAUUUGGCAAAAGAAUAUCUGGCAGAGCAGUAGCCUGGUACAGUCAUAGGCCGAUAGGCGGGAGAAGCUUAUCACGGAGCUUCACUUUGCGUUGUUGAGGCUAUCUGCACUCACGAACUGGAAGCGCGGAUGCAGUCGCCGUUUGGAGUAAAAUGCCCUGCAGCGAGGGACUGCAUCCCUCUCCCUGCGAUAGGGGAGGCUCUCUCUCACCUCAAGCAUGCAGUCGCCGUUUGCCCGUUUGCAGUAAAACGUCUCUCUCUAUUGCUUCUCUCCUCCACAUGCACAACGGUCUGCGCGCCACAGAGCCACAUGCAUGUGGGUGGGAAUAAAAAAGUGUGGAAAAAAAUGAUAGAAUAUGUGGUAGUUGGUAUAGGGUAGAUAUUUAGGGUUAAAUAUGAACACGGAGUAUUAUAGGAUAGAGUAGAUAUUUUUUUUAGAGUAGAAAUUUAGGGUUCCAUGAGUGCGGAUAGUCUGAAAUAUCUCUGAAAAAAUAUCUGAGUUAGAUUUUUCCUGCGCAGUCUGAUCCAAACUGGGUCGCCCAGAACGCGCCGUGCCGUCCGCCGUCUCGCCUUCUCGCCUAGGCAGGCAUAGUAGAAAAAGCGCAGUCGGGCGGGCCCCGCUGGGAGGACUGGCGCUGUCGCCUGGCCCACCGUCGCUUCGCUUUUUGACACGUCGAAGCCACCACGACGAUGCCGAGGCCCAAGCACAACACACCCGUCCUGCCGCCUCACCGCCGGACACGUGCCUCCCUGUACUAGAGAUAAGCCGGAAAGCAAAGCACGCUCUUCGCUGUAGAGAGCGAGAGCAACAGGUCUUUGAUCCCUGUCCACGAGCUCCGGCGUUACAGUUGCAGCACUACAAGUCACCGGGAGAUCCUCGUCCACAUGUUUUGCAGGCACGCCUUCGUGCCUUUUUUUCUUCUCUCCACUUGUGAGAGUUUGGGGCUUUGGUUUUUCCAAAACAAAAAGGAAAAGGGGUUUCGGGGGGCUUUUGGGGAUGCGGCUCGUGACUUUGGUGAGGGACCACCUGUCAGAGGGGGUGGUCCGGUAUCUGGCGCUCUCGGUUCGUUGCGGGGCCCUAGACGCUGCCAGCGGAGUAUGGCCACGCCGUGGCCCCGUCCACAUGUUUUGACGUCGUGGCUUGUCGUUGGCGGCAUCACGUGCCCGCGGCAGCAACGCGCGCUGGUAACAAGUUUUGAGUGAGAAUGUGAGAUCUGGCCGGAGUUUUGGAGAGUGACAGUACAGCGGCUUGAAUUUAUUCUACCAGCAGUACGUGUCCAGAAACCAGAGAACAGGCAUGGAUACCCACACUUCGUACGGUCAGUUCACAGGCCGAUUCAGAAACAAGGGAUGCUGAAAACGGGUGCUCGCUUUAACCCUUGAGCUCAUGAACCAGUUUAGCAGCCGCAAACGAUGCCACGGAAGAGUGUAAAAGCGGAUACGUCAUGUGCUCAUGCGUGCGGUUCCGGUUCGACUGCUUCUGAGUGACGUGUCCUUCUCCUCUUGCACGGUACGUAAUUGCAGUUGACGACCGGACAGUUGUGGAGCGCGCGUCACUUCAUCUCCGACUCCAAUAAAUCAGGUGAAACCCGCUGUCCGCCUUUAGACGGAGACUGUCUGAGGUUGUAUAUGCCUGCACGGUUGGAUGAAGCUGCUCUGGCGGUUAUAUAUCCUGUGCUUUCUUAGCCAUUUUAGUACAGACCAGCCAGCCGUCAAUGUGGAAGACCCACGCGGAAACGCAAAGCAAUGUGUAAAUGCAUCUGCACAGUCCACUCAUCUGGAAGCUUGUGGCUUCGGAGCAAACUUAAGCAAAAAAAAAAACCGAUCACACCUUGAUUUCCACUUUACGCUGGGUAGAUCAGUCAUGGAGCUAUACCGAUGAGACGCUGUUCCUUUAUUAGGGCCUGCACAAAACAAAAAACUAGUGGCUGAGAAGAGAAUACUACGCUAGUGCUUUUAGCUCGCUGCUGGUGGCUGCUGGUAAAAGCUCGGAUUAGCUAGCGAUCGUCCAAGCGUCAGCACAUGCGUGCGUUAGAUUAGGUCUGUGUUUUUGUCUGUGUUCUUGGCGAUUAAUGGGUCUUGCUGCACAUGCUGACUGACCGGCAACAAAAGAGUGCAUCGUCUGGCCAAACGUUUGAAGUCGGUAGUCAACACAACACAAUGCGUUGCCUUUGCCUUUAUCUGAGGGCUGAGGCAACAGUAGCAUAGCAUAAAAGCCAAAGGGUGAGGUUGGUUGGCUCCGAAUAAACUGAUUAACUAAAGUGUAUCCAGUUUAUCCAGAAAUUUAACUAGGGCCGUGGAAGAUAAACUGAUCUGUUCCAUGAGAAAAUCAGUUUAUCUUCCACAGCCCUUAUUUCUAAAAAAACCACUAAAAAUAAAUUGAUCGACUAAAGUGUUCUGGGCCGUUAAAUUUACUUACCCGUUUAUAGAAAUACUUGGAGCUAGUUUGGGAGCCACAAAAUAUUCCAUUAUUAUUCAAUUUUCAAUUUUAAAUAAUAAGGAGAUUCUAUCACCUUUAAUCCCUCUGGUUUUAUGACUCCAAACUAGCCCUUAAUGUUCUAUUGUAUUUUCUACCAUCUUUAUUUCUGGAUGAUCGUUUUUACUAACCGGCCUAAAGUGUUUGGCAGAGUAACAUGAUACUAUUUCCCGUGUCAAAUGCAUCGUUCGUUUUGUCCCAGUGACCGGCUCGCCAAAUUCUACUCCUCUAGCCGGGCUGGCCUAAUUCUGUCAGCCAACAAUCUUGUUGUCUUCUACAUUCUUAUAGCCCAGCCCAGCCCAAGUUACAACACUGCAGCACCUCGUUCCAACGUUUCCCCGCGCUCUAUGCCACGUCAUCGAUCCGUGCCACCACCUCCCACCGCAUCCCUUCCCUCUGAUCCCAAUCCAACGCCCCAGCUCCACCCUCCCACGGAUCCACACGAAACCACCUCCCGCUCGGCACUUCUCCAAACUUCCCCAUUCCCUCCCAAACCCCAUUGAUAAAUACCCCUCCCCACCCCAAAUCCGAACUCAGUCGCCCACAAAAACCCAGUAACUCGCAUCUUCCUCCGUGAUCCAAGUUCUAGCAGCGCAGCGCUCGGUUUCGGCAAUGUCGGGGCGCGGCAAGGGCGGCAAGGGUCUGGGCAAGGGCGGCGCCAAGCGCCACCGCAAGGUCCUGCGCGACAACAUCCAGGGCAUCACCAAGCCGGCGAUCCGGAGGCUGGCUAGGAGGGGCGGCGUCAAGCGCAUCUCCGGGCUCAUCUACGAGGAGACCCGCGGUGUGCUCAAGAUCUUUCUGGAGAACGUCAUCCGUGACGCCGUCACCUACACCGAGCACGCCCGCCGCAAGACCGUCACCGCCAUGGAUGUCGUCUACGCGCUCAAGCGACAGGGCCGCACCCUCUACGGCUUCG